rnacentral:lncRNA from 1 species
GGCGCCGUGCCCUGCUCCACCCCAGCUAUAUGUCCCCCGGUUCAGGUCUGUCGCCAUGUCCAGGUCGCGUUUCCUCCGGUGAGGGUUUGUGUGGUUUCCUCCUGUGGCUUGGAUGAGUCGAGGUUGCGUCUUGUGCUCCGUUUUGUAAUUUGCUACGGCUAGUAGUGCGUUGCAGUCUGUCGUGUUCAGCAUCAUUUGGUCAGUCGGUCCAUAGCUGACGAUGGCCUGAACUGUCGAGUGCUCUCCUUGAGCUAGUCGUCGCCUUGUAAGUUCUGACAAGUAUUAUUGUUAGUCGUUCGCUUCAGCAACCAAAAAAUGAGUAUUGGUAGUGGUUUCUCAUUAUCUUUGUGAAUAUUGUACUUAUGUCGGAAUGUUUUUGCCUUGUUAUUUGUGUAUAUUUCGUAUCUUGUGUUCUUGGUACCAGCAGUGGUUUCUCAUCUUUGUGAAUCUUGUGUGUGGUGUUUUUUUUUCUUCUGCCUCGUUCUUUGUCAACAUGAAUGAUAUGUGCGUAUGCUCGCCCAGGCAUACUCUUGUAGAGUAGUAUUGUGAUUGAUCACUCUCUGUUGGGCCAUCGUGGCAGAGCUUCAGUGAGGAUUGUUCCAUGGGGUUUCCGGGAAUCGGAAACAUGGAACGGCUAACUGUAACUCGAUGGGAUUUCCUUGUUCAGAUGACGCUUUUUAGUUGUGAUGAUGAUUGAUGAAUUUAGUGUCUGCUGUUUUCGUGCGAUCGAUGGAUCAUCCAUCCUCCUCCCUUUUGCUGCGAUUUCGCAUUUGCCAGCAAAACACAAAUUCUUUUGGUGGCUCAUUAUUCAAGAUCGAGCUUGGACUGCAGAUAGACUUCAUCGGAGAGGUUGGACAAAUUGUGGGCUAUGUUUCGAUAAAAGAAAAUUGCGGUAAUGCUAGUUGGGACUUUUAGCAACCUGCCUCGACACUCACCGCAGGGUCGCAACAGAGACCCUCGGGCUCGUGCGGCGGUUCAGUCAGACGGGAUCUGCUGAUCCAGUGAUGUGGAUGUGGUCUAGUCAAACGCAAUGCACGUGGGGUGGAUCCGGAUCCACCAAGCAAGCCAUCCUGACCCCGUCGUCCCGUGGUAUCAUCCGUAGUCGUCAAACCGUGCAUCCUCGUGGCUGAGCUGAUGCUUUGACUGGCCACAGCAGAGCACAUCACGCAGGCAAAGCCCGUCGCCGAGCUGGCAGGCGGGUGGCCCCACCCACGCCCACCCCGACCCCCUAUAUCAGAGAGCGAGCGAGCGAGAGGGCAUAGCUAGCGGAUCGCCCGACCCGACUGUUGCAGAUCGCCCCCGAGAAACCCACAAAUUUGCAGAACCUACACUGGGUCACGGGCCCCACCCCCGCGGCCCCACCCGGCAGCGAGGAGGGCAAGGGCAAGGCGGAGGCAGUUUGCAGGAACCCCCCCGUCCUAUUCCGCCUCGCCUCGCCUCCUCCUUCCUUCCUGCCGUUGCUGCCUGCCUCAUCGUCCUUCUCUCUCUCGUCGCCUCGGCCAUCCCAUCUCCUCUCCUCUCUCACCGGCGGGGAGGGUCUGCACGGCCGGCCGCCAUUGGCGCGUCUUCCCGAGGUACCCUCGCCCCGCCAUCUCGAACCCUCGCCCUCGCUGGUCGCUGCCCCUUCGCCGUCUCGCGGUGGUUUCUGCCCUUUUGUGUUAUGUAAUGUAAUGGCUUCGGCAGCGGACGCGAAUUGCCAGGGAUGCAUGGUUCGGGGCGGCGAUUCCUCCUCGGCGGAAUCGGAUCUACUAGGACUAGGAGAGAUGGUGAUGGGCUUUUCGUUCCUGCGUUAAUUAUUUACUUACUUAUUUUUCUUUAUUAUUACUGCGCGGUGUAAUUCAGGUCCGAGUCGUGUGGACGAUAAAAGGGCUAGUGUUAGUGCUGUAAGAAACGCCUGAGGCGGGCAGUGCUCUGCUCUGCCCAAUCCCUGCGAGCAAUCGCUGUGUCUGUGUGAAGGAUGCAUGGUUAUGAUUUAUGAAGCCUGACUGCGUACGUCGUGUCACGUGUGAUCAUGUGUGAUUGACUGAUUGCACGUACGUUGCAGCUCUGAUUGGGGAAGAGUAGAAGAUGGUCGUCAAGGAGUUUACCGUUGAUCUCAACAAGCCUCUUGUUUUCCAGGUACCAUCUGCUCUCUCAAUAUUUGCUUCUUCACAUCAAUUGUUGCAGCAACUCUUCUCGGAAAUUUUAGGUGUGCACAUUUCCCAUUCCUUUCCCACUUUAAGUUUGUCGUCAUUUUGAGCUUGUGGCAUACAGCCAUACACUUCUGAGGUGCUGAAAUGCUGAACUGUCAACAUUUCAAGUGAUGCUUGGUGGACUUUGCUCUACUCUUCUGAAAUAAUAUGCUGUAGUGGUGAACUUGUGGUUUUACAAGCUUUAACUUAUCCGGUGGAGGCUUCUAUCCCUACUCUUCUUCUAUCAAUAUAUGAUAUGCACGCUCGUGCAUAUUCUAGAAAAAAAAGUUUUAACUUACUGAGAAUUGCUUCUGCCUGACAGUUGAAGUAAACUACUACUUUUGACCGUGCUGUGUAUUUUGUGGCUCAAGGUUGGCCAUCUCGAGGAACAUUACCAGGAAUGGGUUCACCAGCCCAUCGUGAGCAAAGAAGGUCCACGCUUUUUCGCAAAUGAUACCAUGGAGGUAACGCCAAUGCGCUCCGGUGUAUAUAUUAACGUCAUUGGGGGAUUUUGGAAACUGAACUGUCACCAUAUACGUAAUAAAUUUCUUUGUGCAGUUCUUGACACGCACAAAGUGGUGGGCUGUGCCAGUCAUAUGGCUACCUGUCGUCUGCUGGUUGUUUGCCAAGUCUGUUCGGAUGGGUCACACCAUUCAGGAAGUAAUCUUGAUGGCCCUAUUUGGGGUGUUUGUUUGGACGUUGAUCGAGUACAGUUUGCACCGCUUCCUGUUCCACAUCGAGACGAGAAGCUACUGGUAAGAAGAACUUAUCAACCUUCACCUGGGAAUGUUUUAUCGGGAUUCUCCUCAUGCUUGUAAAUCGUACCCCCCUCCGAUCCGUAAUAAGUGUCGUGGUUAUAUAUGCUCGUAACUGAUGGAUGGUUGGUGCGGCAUUUCAGGUCGAACACCGCGCAUUACCUUAUCCAUGGAUGCCACCAUAAGCAUCCUAUGGACUCCCUCAGGCUCGUAUUCCCUCCUGCUGGGGCAGCGAUCAUAUGCGUGCCGGUACAUAUCCCUGACUGAACCCAUGGAAUGGAAAUGCUGAACAUACAUUUGCAAACUGCCUCCAUGAAACAUAACCCAAAGUGGUUUUGUUUUUGUUUCUUAUUUUUCAGUUCUGGAAUGUUGUGGCAUUCUUCGCAAGUCCAUCCACGACUCCUGCGCUGUUCGCCGGCGGCCUGCUGGGGUACGUGAUGUAUGACUGCACGCACUACUACCUGCACCAUGGACAGCCGUCCAAAGAUCCAGCGAAGCAUCUCAAGGUGACUAACUAGCAUGAUUCCACUUGAAGCCACCGAUAGUCUACCAGUAGCUGUUGCUCAUUCCUCACAAACUUGACUCGUGAUGCAGCGGUAUCACCUCAGCCACCAUUUCAGAAUCCAGGACAAGGGCUUCGGCAUCACCUCGUCGCUCUGGGACGCCGUUUUCGGGACCUUGCCUUCGUCCAAGAUCGCCGCGAAGCUCAGCUGACACGCAUGAACAUGCUCUUUGCACGAGGAAUUUUAGUAGAGAGUUUGUAGGCUUAGGUUAGGGGCAAAGCUCAUCUUGCAUUUCUGCAAUGGGUUCGCAUAUCUGCACGGUUGGAGAUGUCUGUCCUGAUGUGAAGACGUUUUGGCUGCCUCGACUUUUCAUCCCCAGCAAUAGGCUAUUCAUUUCGUUCUAGUCGAUGUUAGGAUAAAUAGUCAUAUUCCUUGGUUGAAUUGUGAUAUCUUCUGUCAUCUUUCUCUUUGAGUUUUAGUUGUCGGCUGUUCAGAGAAUGGUGCGAGAUGCUCUUUUCUGGGUCCUCGUCAUGAGUUGCCUUCUACCCCCUAUGUUCCUAAAUAUAAGUCUUUCUAGACAUUUCAAAUGGACAACAAUAUACAGAUGUAUGUAGGCAUAUUUUAGAGUGUAGGUUCACUCAUUUUGCUCCGUAUGUAGUCACUUGUUAGAAUCUCUAGAAAGACUUAUAUUUGGGAACAGAGGGAGUAUCAGCAUAAAGGGAUAUCUGAAGGAUAUUCUCUGGAUAGCCUUUGCACCUUUAGAAGAGUGUGUACAAACUUGAACGUGUGUGAUAGAAAUAAAUGAACUUGUACAUAUGAGUGAAGAAACAAAGAAAAUUUUCCGGUGGAACUAAUGUUAAGCCAUGAGAACGUGGCAAAUCUGAAGCCAUUCCUGCGGUCGGAGAUCGCACAUGGGUCAUAGCAAUACCUGGCAGAGAUACACCCAUAUACUCAGGCACUCAGCCAUCUCAUUCGCAACAAUUCCGUGGUUCAUAGUACAGAUCUACAGCCAGUUGGGGCAUCAGAAGCACAUGAGACUAUUGGUUCAGAUACCCUCCAUUUCAGAAUCAAAAGGUGCUAGAUGCCAUAUGAAUUAAGUUUUGACAGUAACUAGUGGAUUUGAUCUCCGAAAGAAACAGCCUGUUCAAAACAAAAUGUAGACUGAGCUAAAUUGCGACUAGAAACAAGUCAACAACAAUGCAUUGCCAGACAAUACGCUGGCACAACAGUCCCCCCUUAAUCUGGGGAUGUUCAAGAGUGGAUUAUACGGGGUGAAUUUUUAGGUCGCCCUCUCUUGCCAUUUUUUGUCACCUUUGGCUGGCUGGUCACCAAAGCGUACAUUCUGACAGCAAAUAAUUCCUCAGGCAGCUCCUUUUGGUUCUGUUAUCAAAUUGCGAGAUUAUGUGGCUGACAAAUGGAAGCUGAAGUUUGUCGUUUGGGAAAAUUUAAUAUUUUGCGAGAUGCAUACCUUGAUGCUGUGGAUAUACAACCCACACUUGUUAAAUAGCUCCCUGAAAUAUGCAUCAGACCUGGUGACACUGUUAUCCUCCUUGUCUAAAACAAAUCCUGACAACACAAACAUGAUAAAUUUCUGAAUAAGUAUAACAUGGACUGCAUCUCUAUCAUAAAGUACAGCUGCUGCAGUAACGAUACAGAUCAUUUGAUAUAGUAAGCUCACCAUUUUUCGCAAUGUUCUCUUUCAGAACAAAAAAACCAUCCGGUUUGAGCCCAACCUGUAAACAACACCACCCAUGUAUGUUCAAUUAAUAUGCAUAGAUGGUUGAACAGAAUAUACAUAAUAUUAAAUCAGAGUUUGACUGUUUGACUAUACUAAUAGGCGCACUGACAUGGUGAAAGAGAGCCAGAACUGGAAUUAAGCCAUAAGUAAAAAAUACAGACUGGAGUUGGCUUAGAAGAUGUCGCUUGUUCCAACUUGCACUGUACAUGUAAUUGUUGAAACUAUAUGGUGAGCAUCUUUCUACAUAUGCAUAAGAAAUUUAUUGCAAGCAUUUGUUUAGCAGCGAAAAAUAUCAACAUCCUUUCUCCAAUAAUAGUACAACACUAAAGCAUGCUUCUGCAUACAAUGUACAUGUUGAAUUUACACUAUUAAAAGUACAGAAAAAAAAACUUCAAGGCAAGAAAUCAGCAUAAUGUUAAAACAAAAUAUAAGCGAGUGUAAACCGAAUCACCUUUGCACGGUUAAAAAAUGAAAUAAAAUCAUCAUCAGUAAGUUGCCCUAUGCACCACUGGAUCCAUAUCACAUCAUAUCUUCCUUCCUCGGGAGUGAAGUCCUGAAGCAAGAAGCGGCAUUUACCAUAUGGAAAGAAGUGGUAAGAAAUUUGCAAAGAGCAUAACCACAAUAAGAAUGCUCAACCAACCUGAAGAGGUAUACAAUAAAAGUUCGCAGCCUUGUGGGUAUCAUGUCCUACAUCCAUACAACUACUAAGAUUUUCCCGUGCCGCUUCUAGAAAAUGGGCUACUGGCUCAACGAGAUCAACCUGAAAAUCCAAAGCCAGUUUAAAAUGAAUCAUCAAAAUUUGGGAGAAACAGAAAAUCACAAUUCAAGUUGUGUUACAUCAGGGAGAAAAAGAAAAAUUGUAAGUUCUUGCAAAAAUCACUGUGUGCGUACAACAACAGAAGCUGCAUGGAGUGAGGAUAACAAUUCAUUAGUCUAGAACUGGUAUCAUGUAUGGAUAAGCAGGUCUUUUCAGGCUUCAAUAGAUCAUGCUACAAAGUAAAACUUGUAACCGUGAGUUGCACUGCAUACCUCAUUGAAAUGCUUGAUAAGAAAAUUCUUCGUAACCCGCCCGAUGCCCGAGCCACAAUCUGCCAUAAUUUCAGAGAUGACAAUAUAAGUGCACAAUUAUAUAACAGAGAGCACACAGGAUCCCAUGACAUGAGCAAGCUAUGCAGUCGCAGAGAUAGAAGAACUAAUAAAAUGCUCUCCGCGGCAGAGCUCAGCUCACCAAGCGCGACGAGAUGGCGCUUCGCGGCGCCGAAUCGCUCCGCGAGGAGGGGGCGGAGGAAGGCGGCGCUGCCCUUGACGUCGGCGUCGUUGACGCACCCAUAGCCUCCCAGGACGCCCUCGGUCGACGCCUCCACGCCCUAGGACACACCAAUUGGAGCAACUGGUAAGCUAAAUCUGCAGCCAGAGGACGUGCAAUCGGAUUGGGGGUUUAGGGUUUAGGGAGGGGCGGCUGAGCGCGGGUGCUCUUUAGAAUUUACCUGCCAGUAGGCGAUCCCUUUGGAGUACCACUCCUCGCGCUUCCCUUCCCCGCCCGCUUCCUCGCCGGCGUCCCCAUUGCUUGGAGCGGCGGCGGCGGCGGCGGCGCCCGGAGGGACUUCGGAGGCCGAGGCGGAGGCGGAGGCGGUGGCGCCGAUCUCUUGCGCCCACAUCUCCGUGGCGCUGGAAAACUCGCGGCCCGUGGAAUCGAAGCCCCGGGAGUCCAUCUCUCCGGCGGCGGCGGCGGCGAAGUUAGAGUUGGUCGCGCGCGAGCAGGGGAAGCUUGUGGGUGUAACUGUAUAUUCGGUUUUUACAGGUAUCCUUCUGCAUAUAUUCCCACCACCCGGAGGCAAGUGAAAUCUUUGCCGCUUUGGUGGGACCUGAUGAUAUCUGGCAUUUAAAUUUUCAAGAUGUGCAAUUUUCCAAAAACUCUACCUCGAAUCACCACAAAAAAUCAUGAAAGAAAAGAGUCAAAACUUCUUUAACAUUGUUGAUGCAUGGUGCAUAUAAAAUGGCACAAUAUUUCAAGGAAAAUUUGAUCCAUCGGUUGGAUACAGUUUUUUUAAUGCAAGAGAUAAUAAUAAAGCAUCUAUUAUUUGCAACAUAUAUAAUAAAUUGAUACUAUUCCUAUACAUAUUUGCGGUCUUUUGAAUUUCGAUUUGUGGACCAAUGUUGGAAUUUAAAAUCUGUCGCACGAUAGAUCCAUAUGGUAUCAAUGUUGCUACUUCCAACAAAAGUUUUAUGCGUGGUUGGUACGGGAGCACAAAGCAUUGUUACAUUCUCUAUGUUUAACACAUAAGCUGAUUGAAGAGGGUAUUUUGACAAUAGCGAAGGUGGUUAUUGUCAUCGAUGACGGCACAUUGCAAAACAUUGUCGUCUCUCCACUCUCCACACAACAUCAUUCCCCGUCGAGCGACUGCCACAUUCAAUGCUCUUUCAUUUUCGGCACUUCGUGACAGUGGCUCCUCCUUUUCAUCUAAGUAAUUGUCCCCUUUGAGCUUGUUGGUGACAAUGCAUUGUGGAACAUCGUUAUUUCAUCACUCUCCACUCAGUAGGACACUCUUCUAUCUCGAUGGUGUCUCCAGUAGUUGCACAGCGGUUGAAGGAUGAGAAUUUGGCCGUGAAGAUUGGAGAACAUGAUACUGAACUCGAUCGCGCUAUUGAUGCCCAACAUCCUUUUGUCGCACCAGGUUUAGAGAGCAUCAUUCUGAUAAAGGCUAUAAAAAUGACCGUGUCGGCCAGGCCACUUCGCUAAUGAGGAUGAGCCAACACAUGUCUAUUUGCAACUCAAUGAAACUGACCUUGAGAUGCUUGUCACGUCGAGGUCAUUCGCCGAUGGUCAAAGGUCUUUUGCCAAGGAGCUCGAGGCUCAGGAGUAUGCUGGCUACUCAUGGUAUCAACAACCUAGGCUCGUUGCUAGGGAGCUCAUCUUUCAUGCCCGGUGGACACAAUUUGUAGAGUUCCAUGGCUCGAUGAACAAUGACAUCCUGACCUUGAAGCUCAAGCACAAGUCAAGCCGAAGGUUGGGAUCUAUGAUUCUGUCGACUACACUGAGAGGGUGAUCACUCGUCAUUAUCACCCUAUCUUUCGCUACUUAUGAGGAGGGUUUUGUGUAUGUUGUGGUGGGCUUUGGGUUAGGGGUAUAUUAGAAAUACCUGAUGUUGAUGAUAGAUGAUCAAACUAUUGUUGGUGGCUUUUGCAUCAUGAUUGCAAGACAAAAAACCUGAUGUUCCGUGCUGAUCAAACAACUUAAUCAUAAUAGUAUAUGCACUUAUUGCAAGCCUAUCUUUGUGAAGUUAGUAGUGAUAGUUUACGAACUGAGCCUAACUAAGAUGGUUAUGUUUCUUGAGGUGGAACCAACCCACCAGGGUUCAAGUUCUAGACUUGACACUGAUGCUCUCAUUUUCCUGGAUUUAUUUCAGACUUUUCGGCGAUGUUCGUUUAGUGAGAGGAGACAUUCCUAUCGACUACGAAGGCGUCUGUGGUGACUUCGCCAAUCUUAAGAUGUUGUGCCGGCCCAGUAUCCCGAAGGUGCCCAUAGGGGUAGGUUGGGUGUGUGUGCGUUUUAGGGGGUGAGUGUAUGUAUGUGUAUGUGAGCAUCUGUGUUAAAAAAAUUAUUGAUGGUUUUAAAUUGCUCCGGAAUGAACAAUAAAUUUGAUUUUUGUUUUAGAGAAAAGUUUUAAAAAAAUAUGUUUUUUGCACUGAAGAUGCUCGAGUGUGCUAUGGAAAAUUUCAGACAAAUGACCACGGAAAUUUGCAUGCUCCUAGCACACUCGAGCAUCCUUGGUGCUAAAAAUUCAGAUUAUUUUUCUAUUUAUCUACCAAAUUUACUUUUCAUGAGGAGUAGAUUGGAUUAUCGAUUGCGAUGAUGUGUAUUUAUAUUGUGAUAUCAAAUCAUGUAACAUAAAAUGAGGCAAUCUUAGAAGUAACUUUAAGCACACCGAAGUCAUUUAGGGGGUAAUUAAGAAUUUCAGAUGUUGGAGUAUAUUGGAGUCAUAGACUCCUGGGAUCACAUAAUACUAUAACUGUUUUGUAGAUAACUUUUGUCUUAAUAUAUUGCAGUCGGACACUCUCCUACUGUUUUGUUACUUCAAAAAAGGAUUACAUAUUAUUGCUCAUAAUAUAACAGCAGAGUUUAUUGAAGUGAUUUACAAAACUCACUAAGGAUCCCAAGUUAUGAUGCAGACCCAUUAAGUAUCUGCAGAUGUUACAUGAAAUAAAAAUGACUGUAUUUUCCUCCGAAAAUGCAACGAUGCCGAGUACAUGAACAAUUGUUGCCUCAAAGACAAAAUCUGAUGGUCUACCCAAAUUUUGUCUUGCCUUGUAAGUCCGUAUGAAAUUCGAGCUGAAUAAAGCCUGGAAUUUCUUGCAUGGUAUUGUUGUCACACAUUGAAUCGGAAGAGCAUGACAUCUCCUUCCUGCACAAUAUACUCCUUCCCUUCCAACCUCAUCUGCAGUCAUAGAGAGGGAAAGAAAUAAAGAAAUUUCCUUGUGUGCUUCAUCUCUAAAACUUAGCUAGUAUUUAUUCAUAUAAGUGCACAUAUUGUUACCACUCCCUUCUCCCUUGCUGCUCCAAGAGUACCCGCCGCAACAAAAUCAUCGUAAGAUACCUGAGUCAUGGUAUGUGACCGUUGUGAAAUUAUUAAAAUUAACACCAGAAAAUAAUGGUACAGUACAUGAAAAGAACCUGAAACUAUCUCAUUACUAGCACAGUACCCUGAUACUUACAGUUUCAGCUCUAAUGAAGCCUUUCUGGAAGUCGCUAUGAAUAACUCCGGCUGCUUGAGGUGCAGUCAUGCCUGUAACAAUAACAUCCAAGACAAAACAUAGUCAAAACUUUGUGCCCACGGUGCAAAAAGAUGAAGGCAGUUCCUACAGUAAUUGAAAUAAUACAGUAACAGAAUUGUGAGAAUGUGAAUAAAACCUGCAAUAAUGGUCCAAGCUUUUGUUUCCUGACAAAAGGAAAAAAAGGAUUUGAAAGUUAGGAUCAAUAGCUGAAGAACAAAGUGUCUUGACAGCAGAAGAGAUUCACCUGCUCUCCGGUAGUGAAAUAAGUUCUUAGUCCCAAAAGGUUAUACGUUGCUUUUACCAAGUUGCCUAGCCCACUUUCGGCAACAUCAAGAGAAUUUAGGUAUUCAACUCUCUCUUCCAGUGGUAGUUCAGACAGUUCAGCCUCAACCUGGUGCACUCACAAUUUCAUUAGCUUACAUAGAUAAUAGAUCAGGUGAAAUUGUCUAAUGCCUAGGUCGAUGCAUAUGGUAUCACUUAUCACAAACCUGAGCUGAUAUUGUAACCAUGCCAGAUUUCAGCUCUGAUGCUAGUUUGGCCACCUCUUGGACAUGGGGAUUUUUAUCAGGGUCGGCAAGAUCAGACUCUGUUACAUUAGCAACAUAAAUGACUGGCUUCAUAGUGAGCAGAUAAAGAUGUUGUAUAGCUUCUUUCUCAUGGUCAGGCAAAUCAACAGAUCUUGCAGGCUUUCCAUCCAUAAGUGCAUCCAGAAUUUUUUCUAAGCCCGACCUUUCUGCUCCUUCCUGAGUAGUGAAAACUGGAAUCAAGAACAAAACCUAUCAAAUAAUGGUAGAGUUUGUGAAUAUAACUUACCUUAACUUUUACUUGUGGAUCCUUAGUUUUGCUCUUUUUAAGCUUAUCCAAUCUCUUCUCUAUCUGCAGUUUUUUUUACAAAACUGUCUUGGUUAAGAUAUGAACAUAAAGAAAAAAAUAAAUCCCACAUGCUACUAAGCAAGGAUAGCAGAACUUUUCAUUAUAUUACCUGUUCCAGAUCACAAAAUAUGAGUUCUAAGUUAAUCACAUCAAUAUCUGACUUGGGAUCAACUUUUCCAUUCACGUGAACAAUAUCAUCAUCUUCAAAACAUCGCACAACCUGAAAAUCCAAUGAAGAAAAGAUUGGUGCUAAGUCAAUCCUUAGAACCCCAACAACCAAUAGCCUAUUAUGUUUUUCAAACUGGAAGUGCAAGCAAAAGAAGGCAAUCAUUGGAUGUUCAAACAUAGUACAACCGCUGAACUGAAGGUAAAGGAACAUCUAUUGGAGAAUUAUAGUGAUUCAAACUCUGCAAAAUAAGAGGAUACCAACAGAAUGGUAUGCAGCAGUUGAGAAACAUGGGAAUGCAGCUACUGAAAAAUGCCUGAGAGCACAAAUAUAUAUACUACAAAGUCAGCAAACUUACCUGGAGUAUAGAAUCCACUUCACGGAUGUUUGAAAGAAAUUGAUUUCCCAGUCCCUGAAGUCAACAACCAGGUAAACAUUUUCAUAUAUAAACUAGUGAAAACAAUCAUCGACAUGUUCUGUGCUGCGCUCGGAAUAAAACGAAGGCAACCGCUACCUCUCCUUUGCUCGCUCCUUUGACGAGGCCUGCAAUGUCGACAAGCUCAAUGGACGUCGGGACCGUCUGCUUGGACUUGCUUAACUUCGAGAGCACGUCCAAGCGAGGAUCGGGAAUAGCCACGACGCCGGUGUUUGGGUUUAUGGUGCAGAAGGGAAAGUUUGCAGCUUGGGCCUUCCCAUUUUCAACCUAAUAGCAUUGAGAAACGAACUCACAUUUUGUUUUUGCGAUAAAUACAUGCCAAUUGCGUCUCAAAAUCGCGAGACAUAGAAACCAUUCCAUGAAGCAAUCAUUGUUGCAAGAACAUAAAUUAUGCAGUGAGCGUGAACCAAGUUCAAAGAUAUUAACCAUUUCAACCUUUUGACAGUAUCACCUCUAAGCGGCAAAACAUCGAACAGUUCAAAUGCAGUGACAUUGCCCCUACACGCACGAUUCAUCUGCUUGAAUGACCAGUGCACUAAUCGAAAGGCGUUGCUCUAGGAGCGAGAAUUCAUUGCCCCCGGCUACCUCGAGCUCUCGACGAGAUGACAUCCUUGUCACGGACAGGAGCAUUUUUAAUUUUCAAGCGGCGGGUUCUGUCUGUGCUCAAUCGGUGACUUACAAUGGCGUUGAAGAGGGUGGACUUGCCGACGUUGGGCAGGCCGACGAUGCCGGCGCGGAGGCUCAUGCUAAUCUUCGCGUUGCGGCCCGAGGAGUACCGCCGCGCGCCCCCGCCGCCGCCGACGACGCCCCGGCUCCGCUGCCAGCGCAGGAGGAGCGCCGAGGAGGCGCGAGAGGAGGGCAACGGCAAGGGCGUCGUCGCCGGCACGGCGGGCGUCCGCGUGAACCCCACGAACGCCGAGCCGAGCGCGCGGGACAUCGUCGCCAUGGGCGCCCGCCGAGAAGAGCAGUCGCCGCCGGCGCAGGAGCGUACGGCGAGAGAGGCACGAGGGACUAGCCCGAGAUAGAACGAUAGAACGAUGGAUGGCACGUGAGCGCCACGUGAGAGUUCAAGUCCAUAACACAAUUUUCUGCCUCGUUUCCCUCCUUGCCUCCUCGCCUCGCCGGCGCUGCCAUGCGCCGCCGCGUCCUCCUCCGCCUCAGGCCACCGGCGCGGCGAUGCCUCUGCGCGGCGCUCUCGACCGCGGCCUCGACGACGGCGGCCGCGCCCAGCGCGUACCGCCUGCUGGCCCUCCUCCGCGGCUGCGUGGCCCCGCCGCACCUCCCGCUGGGCCUCCGCAUCCACGCGCGCGCCGUCACCUCGGGCCUCCUCGCGGCCGCCGACGGGCCGGCGGCCGCGCUCCAGACGCGCCUCAUCGGCAUGUACGUCCUCGCGCGGCGCUUCCGGGACGCCGUCGCGGUGUUCUCCUCGCUCCCGCGCGCCGCCGCCGCGUCGGCGCUCCCCUGGAACUGGCUCAUCCGCGGGCUCACCAUGGCCGGGCACCACCGCUUCGCCGUGCUCUUCUACGUCAAGAUGUGGGCCCACCCGUCCGCGCCGCGGCCGGACGGCCACACCCUCCCCUACGUCGUCAAGUCGUGCGCCGCGCUCGGCGCGCUCGCCCUCGGCCGCCUCGUGCACCGCACCGCGCGGGCGCUCGGGCUCGACCGCGACAUGUACGUCGGGAGCGCGCUCAUCAAGAUGUACGCGGACGCCGGCCUCCUCGGGGGCGCGCGCGAGGUGUUCGACGGAAUGGCCGAGCGGGACUGCGUCCUGUGGAACGUGAUGAUGGACGGGUACGUCAAGGGCGGCGACGUGGCCAGCGCGGUGGGGCUGUUCGGAGCCAUGAGGGCGUCCCGCUGCGACCCCAACUUCGCGACCCUGGCGUGCUUUCUGUCUGUGUGCGCCACGGAGACUGACUUGCUCUCUGGGUUGCAGCUCCACACCCUGGCGGUGAAGUAUGGGCUAGAGCCAGAGGUCGCCGUGGCUAACACGUUGGUGUCAAUGUAUGCCAAAUGCCAGUGCUUGGAUGAUGCGUGGAGGCUGUUUGACCUGAUGCCACGAGACGAUUUGGUAACCUGGAACGGGAUGAUAUCUGGGUGCGUUCAGAACGGGCUUGUCGACGAUGCGUUGAGAUUGUUCUGUGACAUGCAGAAGAGUGGUCUUCAGCCUGAUUCAGUUACACUGGCGAGCUUGUUACCAGCUUUGACUGAUUUGAAUGGUUUCAAGCAGGGGAAGGAGAUACAUGGCUACAUUGUCAGGAACUGUGUGCAUUUGGAUGUCUUCUUGGUGAGUGCUUUGGUGGACAUAUAUUUCAAGUGCAGGGAUGUGAGGAUGGCACAGAAUGUCUUUGAUGCUACAAAGACCAUCGAUGUGGUUAUUGGUAGCACAAUGAUCUCGGGUUAUGUUCUUAAUGGGAUGAGUGAAGCGGCAGUGAAAAUGUUUCGUUACCUCUUGGAAGUGGGCAUCAAACCAAAUGCCGUCAUGGUAGCUAGCACGUUGCCAGCAUGUGCUUGCAUGGCUGCUAUGAAGCUUGGUCAGGAGCUCCAUGGGUAUGUUCUGAAAAAUGCAUAUGAAGGAAGGUGUUAUGUGGAGAGUGCAUUAAUGGACAUGUAUGCGAAAUGUGGUAGACUUGACCUUAGCCAUUAUAUCUUCUCUAAGAUGUCUGCUAAGGAUGAGGUGACAUGGAACUCGAUGAUUUCAAGCUUUGCACAGAAUGGGGAACCUGAAGAAGCUCUUGAGCUGUUUCGUCAAAUGAGUAUGGAAGGAGUGAAGUACAGCAAUGUGACUAUAUCUUCCAUCCUAUCAGCAUGUGCAGGCUUACCAGCUAUAUAUUAUGGAAAGGAGAUCCAUGGUAUCAUCAUAAAGGGUCCCAUAAGAGCAGAUGUGUUUGCUGAGAGUGCUCUCAUAGAUAUGUAUGGCAAAUGUGGGAACUUAGAAUUGGCUUUUCGUGUUUUUGAAUUCAUGCCUGAGAAGAAUGAAGUGUCAUGGAAUAGUAUAAUCUCUGCCUACGGGGCUCAUGGCCUUGUUGAAGAGUCGGUGAGUUUAUUAUGCCGCAUGCAAGAGGAAGGAUUCAACGCAGACCAUGUAACAUUCCUUGCUUUGAUAUCUGCUUGUGCUCACGCUGGGCAGGUUCAAGAAGGACUCCGACUUUUUAAAUGCAUGACUGAGGAAUAUCAGAUUGCACCUCGAGUGGAACACUUAGCUUGCAUGGUUGACUUAUAUAGCCGGGCUGGGAAGUUGGAUAAAGCCAUGCAAUUUAUUGCUGACAUGCCUUUCAAGCCGGAUGCUGGCAUUUGGGGUGCUCUUCUCCACGCUUGCCGUGUGCAUCGCGAUGUUGAACUUGCAGAGAUUGCUUCUCAAGAACUAUUCAAGUUGGAUCCUCAUAAUUCAGGUUAUUAUGUGCUCAUGUCCAAUAUCAAUGCUGUUGCUGGACGGUGGGAUGGUGUCUCAAAAAUGAGAAGAUUGAUGAAGGAUAAGAAAGUUCAGAAGAUACCUGGUUACAGCUGGGUAGAUGUUAAUAAUACCAGCCAUUUAUUUGUUGCAGCAGACAAAAGCCAUCCUGACUCUGAAGAUAUUUACAUGUCUUUGAAGAGCCUUCUUCUAGAAUUAAAACAUGAAGGUUACGUUCCCAGGCCAGACAUAUGUUAUACCACGCAACCAGACAACACCACCCAGGUUCAGCAAUGAUUUCUCUGCAGAUUAUUUUAUUCAGCAUGCAUUUUCAUAGUUCAAACCCUUGUUCAACCAUUGCUUUUCUUUGUUCUUACCACCUUCUGUAACUAAAAUGAUACAAAAAUGAACUAUCUGGACAAGGUACCACUGUAUUGCUGAUCCAUCCAUGUCCAACUUCAUGAGACACAGGAAUCAGGAUCAGUUAUACUAUCAUUGCUAAUGAGGUGAUAACACAUUACAUUUUUUCCUUUAAUUUAAUAUAGUUUGCAGGUUAGUCAAAAAUAUCGUUCUGGUAUAUCUUUUUUCUUCUUCUCGAACAUGCACCCAAAUGCAUGCCAUUGUAUUAAAUUAAAGGAGUCGAAGAACUAAGAACCAAAGCCGACCAAAACCCAAAACUGUACAGUUAGCCUACUGCAAGCAGGGUGCUGGUGUAGGGCCGUUCUUGUAUAAUGUAUAUAAUGCCUCUCUGUUACUGCGUAUCUCCUGGCAAGGGAUUGCAGAAAAGCCAUUUUAAUAUGGUAUAGUUGUUUAGUGAUUUGCUUGCUUGUUUUGUUCUGUUGCUAUGUUGCUGUAGAAGGCAAGGUUGGGCGAUUUGGAAGACUGUUCCAUGCAGUUAGUUCUAUUGUCUUCUCCAUUGCAAUUGAGAGUAUACUAAUGUUCUUUUCUUACUGUAGGUAAUGGCAAUUUGAUUGUGAUUUAUCCCAGUGGAAUCUGAUAUUCUAAUGGUAAUAAAAGGAGAAUUCGUUUUUGUACAAAUUGUUGCAUAGAGCAAAGCAAAGCUUCUAAUGCAGUACGAUUCCAUGUUUCCAUGUGAAGAAGUGGCGAGUUGACUUGCUUGUGCAUUAGCUGAACCCUAAACGCUCAAUUCGUAAUGCAGUAAGAACAGGCCCCUUUUGUUUUGUUUGUUUUCUGGUUAACUUUUUUAUCAUCCUUUGCAAAGAUAUGAUAGUUGUAAGAAAAAACCUAUUCUCAUUUUCUCCUUUUUGUUUAACUAUGAGUUCUAAUUCCUAACACUGUACUUUUCCACAGAAAUUCAAAUGGCCAUGGAAUGUAUCUUGUCCAUCUUGGCCAUGUAUCACCUGUACAUAGGCGCGGUCUGAUCAGCAAAGUUUAUAUAAUUCUUUGAAGGGUCAAACUCUCAAUGCUGACAGUUUAUUCCUUGUACUGUGUAAGUUCUGCAAGCUAACUUGUAUGGCUUUUCCGUCUUGAACCUGGACAACAUUAUUCUAUUUCUGCACCAUAAUGUUCUAGAAGCUAUUUGUGUAAUUUCUUGGAAAGUUUUGUCCGGUGAAAAGAAAAUCUAAAAGUGCUAUCCAGAUGGAUAAAUAGCUAUUGGUGUAUAGAUUGUGCUAAAGUUAAUCACUUUUGUCCAAUGACAUGAACAAAAAAAGCAUCUAAUUCUGUUGGUUCUGAGUUGCGUGCUUCUGCCCUCUACACAAUUUUUUGGUCAUUACGUAAGCAUAGUUAUGCAGGUUGACAGGCCUGUCAAAACCAUGAGAACACGCGAGAUUCAACAUUUUCACAGCAGCUUGGCAUGCUUAUGAAACAAGAUUGUGCAGCACAACAAGGUUAACAAUGAAAUGUGCGUGACCUGUUGAGUCAGUCGAUCAUUUUAACUGAUCUGAAGGUAAUUUUAUCGUUUCUCCCUACUGUUAUGUGUACACCUUACAAACAAGUCUUAUAUCAUUGAAUUGAUCGCCAUAUAUGCUUGAAUUCAUGUCACAGGGCUUUGGAUCUAGAACAGAGGACCCCUGGGUGGUAUGGCUUGGAGAUAUCCAAUAGGUCUGUUCAAAUCUUGACAAAAAAUACUAUUGUUUCAUGACUAUGGAAAUUCACAUUUGCUCUUCAGAUGUUCCUGAACGGAAUAUGGAAGCUAAUUGGUUCGUCAUAUAUUUGUUUUUUAUGGGUUGUUGAGUUCAUACUUCAUAGCUGAUAUGAAAUCAGUUGCAGAAAAAUAACUCAAAUACAUAAUACAUUUGACAUCAGCCGAUGUUUUGGUCCAUAACUAGAACUUUGCAAUAACAAUCUUGCAGGCUCAAGUUUGGCAUGGUUAAUCUCAAGGUCACUUUACAUAUAAUAAACCACGCUUUCUUAACUCUUACAAAUUCUUGUAAGAGAAUCUGAACUCAUAUCUCAUCAUCCAAUAUUUUCAGAUCAUUUGGAAGCUUCUCGCGCCGUAUCUGCGCAAGACUCUGGGGAUUUCUUGUCGCGUCCAGCAUCCUAUCCAAGAACUGAACGAACCGGCGAUCCUCGUGAGCAACCUGUGGGUCUGAAAACCUAGCGAGGUUAUCUUGAUCCUGCACCAUUACCAGCAAAAAGCAUCGAUAAAUAGACGGUCUCUCCAACCGAAGCAACAGACACAUUGGUACUAGCCAUCCUCCAGAAAUGCAAGUGCUGUUUACUUGUUCAGAGGUAUGCACAGGCUAGGUUUUUUUUUCAUGGCUAUGUCAUCGUUCAAAUUGAAACUGUAAUAAAACACCGAGCAAUCUUGCAUUUAUUCGUGUAGACCAAGAAAACCUUCAGCCGUUAUACAUAAAAAAAAAAAUCAUGUUGAUUUGGCGGAGAAAUGGGUCCAUGAGCAUCCAUUGCUUUGCCCAUGAGCCAAGUUGCAGGAAGAGACCCUGCAUCCAUCCAUUCCUGGGAGAAAUUUGUGGGUAAAGUAAAGAAGGGCGAACCUUGCUUGCGCUGCCCGCGCCGGCUUGCUCACACGCGCUGCUGCAGAAUGAUGGAUGGCUCGCCGGAGAAACCAGACGACGCAGCCCCUCCCCACGGCCGAACAGCUGCAGCCGACGGUCGCCGCCGGCGAGACGGCAGAUGGAAUGGAUCCUCCUGAGCAGCAUCUCCGACGCCAUGCCUGUUCCCCUCUCCUCUAGCUUUCCCCUGCUCCAAGUACUUGGGUGGGAACAGAAUAGAGCCGUCCAAGGUGUACUAGUAGCAGCAGCACCAGUACGCAAGGUAUCGCAUCAUCUUGGCUGGUCGCGGAGGGCGUCGGUGGGUGACCUCGUUUGAACCGACCGGGUCCUACGGACCGUUGACCGGUAGUACAACGUUAGUUUGAAACCUGAGUAGAUUUUUUUCUAGAAAAGUUUUUCUAGAAGAGUUGAAACUUAGGUGGAAGUGGAACGCGUUUGGCCUCUUCGCUGAUCACUUUUGUUUCCAGUCCGCGGACCAAGUAAUCAGGGCUCUUACUUGGGCGAAAACGAGGUAGCGACCAUCUACAGUAGGAUUAAGCGUGGCUUCCAAUCCAAGUUAAGUCCACAGGCUUAGUUAGCCAUGGUUGAUCGCAGCCAUGCAUUCCUUUGUGUGCACGGCUGGGUCAGAGACGGUCCAUUGCAAUACGCAAGUCACAGUAGUAGUGAAAGCGUAGAGGUUUUAGCUGGAAAAAAGAUGCCUCAAGCCGGGCCAUACUUUACUUGGCCCGCUGGCCAGGCCAGCCGCUUCUCUUGGAACUGGAAGAUGCCCUCACAAAACUCUCAUCACAUGGCCAACUUACAUAAACAUGUGAUUUAGAUUCUCCAGGGUGCUUGCAGAGUCUGCACAUCUGUGGAUAUACUCGUACAUCCGGAGGGGAAAACUUUGGAGUUUGGACAUGCCACACAGAAUUUUACCGACAGAAAAAAAAAGCUUUCGCGCGGUUGAUUCGGUUGCAUUUUUCAGCCGACCAGCAGCAGAUUCUCCUGUCGAAAUGCAGGAGAAAUGGUUGCUCUGCAACUCAAUUGUAGCUUUAUGUGUUUGGUAUCACCGAUGACUUCCGAUCCAAGACCUGAACUUCCCCUUUCGACGCGAUGACAGCAUACGGCCUGCAUGCAACAGAUUGCAAUGUCUUAGGCACUGCACUGUGUAACCACACACGGGCUGCUUUCUUGGUAUAAGAGCUUUUCUUUCUUUCUUGAAACAUGCUGGUUAAUAACUAGAUUUUACUAUAUAGUUUGUCUAGGUUGAGAAACUCACGUAGUGUUGCAAAUUAUCCCAUGCUCCACAACGCCAACAAUUUUCUCCAAGCCUUCCGCUACCUUUCCUGCAAGGUGACCAAGGCAAACCAGCUAAACCUCCAUUGGAGAAAUAGUUACUGAAUUAUCAUGUCGAAUUUAGAUCCUCAAAGAGUGGCAAGCUUCCAUUUAUACAUACCAAGAUCCUGGAUGGGGGUUGUGAAGAUAACAUCAAGUACGUGAUGGCCCUCCUUGGUAACCAGGGGAAAGUCGCCUCCUGAUGGACCGGCAGUUCCAAUGGAUGGCCUCCUCCAAACCUUCAGGCAAUGGUAUCAGUCAAAAGGUUUUUUAUUUUCUUUUGCCGGGUCGGCACGGACAGGUUUCAGGUUCAGAAGUCUAGUAUAAAUAAUUAUCAGAUUGAUGGGUGGUGUGCACCUCUGCGUCACCUAGGAACAGAUCAUCAAUCUCUUCAGCGGUGUCAAUCCAGUUUCCCUGAAAUGAUCUGCUCCUCUCUUAAUGAACAUCACACAAAACUGAUCUGGUAUCUGGUGGCAGAAGGUAGAGAUUGCUUACACUUUUGACCAAAACUGGAAUGGAACCCUCUAUGCCAUUCACAUAUUUGUCGUUGUCAAUGAUAAAGGCAACCUUGUCAGCCGAUUUAACAAUACCCUGUGGAUCCAGACCAAUCAAGAGUUGCAUAUAGGAAGAUGAGAUAAUCAUAUAGUAAUUGACAUAACAGAAGUAUCUGCACUGAACACAAGCAAAUAGUUAUAUAUAGAGUAUUUUUUUUUUCAGAAAACAGCGACAGUUCCAUUUUGAUGAACUUAUUACUAAGAUGCAUGCUUGUUCGACUUUUCAGGAAACAAAAGGACAAGUGAUAAUUUAGACAGACACAAGUCAGGGAGCCUGAAUGGGUUUAAGCAGUUUCCGAAGAGCUGGCUUAACAAAUUUCUGAAGAGUUGCGCUAACCUUCUCUUGUAUGAAAGAAGGCUGUCCGCUUUCGGUUUUCCCGCGCCCGAUGACAGCAGCGAGUGUGCCCUCUUCAAUUACAUCAGCAUCAGCGAAAGCAAAAUCAAUCUAUACGUCAGUGAGCAUGGUUUCAGCCAAAAUUCUUUUCUUUCCUGCCUGCAGGAUUUACAAUGGUGACAAGAGAAUAGAGCUUACUUGGGCGCCUUCCUCGUGGUUGCCGACCUUUAUCCCUGCUUUCUCUGCCUCACUUGCACAGAUCACAGACCUGGCUGAUCAACCCCAACAACCGAUUAGACGCAACCGAUGAUCAGAGUGAGCGAAUGCACGAGGGAUUUCAGAUGUUCAGGAUGCAAGUAAAGCUCAUGUGGCACAGAUGAACCACGGAGUGGCAGUGAAGCAAUUGCAACGCUUACGAGGGUAUGCCGACAAUGCCGGUCAGCGAGCCUCGCCGGAGGCGCGUGCCGAGGUACUGGACGGCGAGCCCCGACGCGGCGCCGGAUCCGAGCCCGACCACCAUGCCGCUCUUCACGAACUCGUCCACCUGAAUCAAUGCCGCAUAACAUGAGGUAAGUGCCUCAGCAUUCAGACGAAGCCGGCGGGCGGAAGAGUCAGCAAGUGUCUCCCUUAUUACCGUGAGCUUGGCGGCGUCGAAGAGGCGGACGACAUCGGCGUCGGCGGCGGCCGCGCAGGCCACCGAACGUCGCCCCUGGAGACACCGAGCGGCGUGGCGCUGCCGCGGCCGCGGUCGCCGGCACAGGGGGACCCGCGCGUGCGAGCUUGCCGCGAUGCUUGCUCUGGCGACUGCCUCCAUGGAGACGAGCGGCGAAUACGGGGGCUGCCUCUCUGCUCGAGCGUCAGCUUUGCCGGUGCAGCCUAGCGGUUUCGAGACCUGCCACACAGUUUGGGUAAGCACCAGCGCUUCAGAGGAUAAGGAGUGUGACAGCGCACGAGCAGCGCGACAAAUUCCAAGUGAAUAAGAUGUGUUGGGACUUGGGAACCCAUGUUUUUCUCUGUUCUGCCCACUCCAAAAAAAUUGUGAAGUUAUCUGUUUUUUUUAUAGAUUUUCAUCGUGGUAUAAUGAUACUUUUGUUAUCCUCAGUUUCAAGAGAUAACUGUAAAAACGUGUCACGUGUUAAUUAGUAGGUGCUAUUGAGCGAAAGUGUCACUCUAAUCUCGAGCGCAAAUGCACCCGCAUGGACACUAAAUUCCAAAAAAAUUGCAAAAAUAUAUUAAAAGACAUCUGAUUUUUUUGGAUGAACAUCAACAAGUUCUCCAACAUCCUGCAAAAUUUCUCCACUAAUAUAUAUAUAUAUAUAUAUUGAGGUUUGUGCCAAAAAAUGUGUGCUCCAAAAUGUGUCUUUUCGAGCCUUGAAUUUUGUUUUUUUUAUGUGCAGGCCUCCUCGGAUGUCAUUUCAAGGUGAAAUUUGCAUGAUGUCAGAAAAUGUUCAUCCACAAAAAUAUUCAGAUGUUUUUUUUAUUUUUUUACUAUUUUUCGUAAUGUACUAUUCAUGCAGGUGCAUUUGUGCUUGAGAUUAGAUUAUCCAUGUCCGUUAUUGAGUAGUUUUUUUUUUGUUUGCGGAAUCUUUAGCAAUUAGUACUUGUAUGUCUUUGUGUUGUACUCUUCAAGUCAAGCGUGCCUUACAUCUUAGCCAUUAUUGCUGCUGCCACAUGGGCGACAACAUCAACGAACCCUAGAAACCACUGUCAUCUACCUCAUGCGGCAGCCUAUAUGUACAACUUUGAACUUUUACAUGUUCCGGUUCAUAUGGGAAAGUGCAUUUAAUAGGUCUAAUAUAUGUCAUCUACCAGCUGCAUCUUGCUCUAAAUACACUUCUAUAUAUAACAAUGAAACUACUACUCAUGUAUACAUCAGAAGCGCCCCUUGUGAAUGGUUCAAACUAUGUGAUCAUUUAAGCUCUAUCAUUCUAGUACAUGUUAGUUUGUUCGAAUAGACCACCAAAACAAGACCAUACUCGAACAUGGAAUUUACAUCACUUGAGGUUGUCAGUGGAAGCGCCAUAUAUUGGCAUGAUGCACAAGGUGCGCGUUGUAACAUAUAUAGACAAGUUAACCGUUUUAUAAGUUACUCGGAAUAAGUGGUCUCAGGAAAAUAACUAUCAUAGUUUGGUCUUUGGAGACAUCAAGUUUGUCGCGCUUCACUUCUUUUAGUUUCUCUAUGGCAGAUGUAAGUUUUUCUCUCCAAUUUCCCNNNNNNNNNNNNNNNNNNNNNNNNNNNNNNNNNNNNNNNNNNNNNNNNNNNNNNNNNNNNNNNNNNNNNNNNNNNNNNNNNNNNNNNNNNNNNNNNNNNNNNNNNNNNNNNNNNNNNNNNNNNNNNNNNNNNNNNNNNNNNNNNNNNNNNNNNNNNNNNNNNNNNNNNNNNNNNNNNNNNNNNNNNNNNNNNNNNNNNNNNNNNNNNNNNNNNNNNNNNNNNNNNNNNNNNNNNNNNNNNNNNNNNNNNNNNNNNNNNNNNNNNNNNNNNNNNNNNNNNNNNNNNNNNNNNNNNNNNNNNNNNNNNNNNNNNNNNNNNNNNNNNNNNNNNNNNNNNNAUAGAUAUUUCUGCUAGUUUUUUUUGUUACAUCUUCUCCCGUACGUGACUUCUGAUCUAUUUUCUUUCUACCAAUCCUUGACUUCUCAUUGACUGGUGCACUGCAGAUUAGACUUCGACCCUGUGUCCCUGUGUAUCAUGACAUUACUGGCGUCAUAAACUUUGCUUCAGUCGUUAUUUCUUUGAACCACGGGGCUUGUAAUAAAAUUGCCCAUUCCUUGGCGGCAAUGGGAGUGGGGACGCAUGGACCUAGGCUACUAUGACAAGAAGGUGUGCCCGAUGAUGUUAUAGUGUUGGUGCUAAUGGAAUCAAGAGUUCCAUCUAAGAAAACAAAUUCUUGAACUUCCACUAUGUCUAAACAUUUCAUUUAAAUCAUUUCUAUUGAUGAUUUGUUUCAUACCGAUAACGAUUUUUGUUGCGCUGGAUUUGUCGGCUGGACGACCAUGGAAGUACUGUACACUAGGCAAGAGAAAUCUAGACAUUGUGUCGGUCACCAUACAUGGUGGUUGUGCAGGUGUCCUUUCACGGUGUACCUUGAUGUUGUCUUCAUCCAUCCACACUCUAUGGAUCCAUCAAAUGAUUGGAGGGUCAUUUUUAGGAUUAGUUCACAGAUGCAGGUGGCGGGGUGGCCCCAUAGGAUUUUUGACACUGUAGCAGUGCAAUGCUAGCGUGCACUGCAUGACUAAUCUUUUCGAAUCUGGUAAAAGCGGCAGGGAGCUUCUUCGAUCACCUUGGCUUUGCCAUACAACCACACAUCAGCUUUCCUACGUUGGUUGGGCCGAGCGGUUGUUGACAUUUUUUGACACAUCAGCUUUCAUUGGUUGGAUCUGACAACUAUAAGUCGUGUGUCAUUGACUAUGUGUUGGUUGUCUUGGAUAUUAGUAUGCCUCUGCUGAAAUCUAGCCUUCAGUUGUUGGAUCAGGAAGAUGGUAGUGAGGCGAACUCAGACAGUAAAAUCAUGUGUUCCGCCUUCAGUGACUGGUUCAAGAGAUGCUGGUGUGCUGGUGUUGAUACCUUGUUGAAUGUGUUGUCUUGGUGCCCUGACCCAUAUACUAAAUGUGUUGCCUCUUUUUAGUGGUUUAAAUUUAGUAAUGAAUUGCAAGAUUAACAUGCUGUCGUGUAAUCGGUGGUCUGCUUAAGCGAUGAUAACCGAAUUUUUUUUUUGCAUGUUGUUUUUGGCCUAGCGUCCUGAGCUUCGCAUGAAUAAAAUGAGUUAUGUUUAUCAAAUGAUUCUAAGGCUGGUAUAAUGAUACUUACGCGGUGUAAAAGUGUAUACAAGUCGUUAUUAAUAUUUGGUCACACUGGCUUGUAUCUAGUGAGUGAUGUAGAAGCAUAUUUCACUCAAGAUAGACACAGCUUGGCCCCGACCUUGGACACCAUGAUGGUAGGUUAAAAAAAAAUGAGUAAAAUAAGAGCAUCUACAGUCGGACUUGGCAAAUCCGGUCCCUCAAACCCGCGGACGCGUCCGGCCACGUUUGCAGCUCAUAAACUUCUACAACUAAAACGAUAUAAACAUUGAUGAGGAGGGGGGCCGGAAUCACCACUUCCUCGCCGGGCCUUUGCCCUUCCGGGUGCCGGCGCAGCUGUAGGCGUCCGCGUCUGGUGGAGGAUCUUGGUCGUCGGACGACGAGGUGCAUCUGUCACCGCCGUCGGAGUCGGAGUCUGAGAGGACAAUGAGCACCUUCAUCCGACGGACCGCCCUGUCCUGCUCCCGCUUCAGCCUUGCGACCCGAGCCUUCUCCGGUGCUGCCUCCUUCGCCUCGAGGUCCAAGUGCUCAAUGGCUAGCCGGAGCGCCUUGCCGUUCUUUCGUCGGAGGCGGCGAGCGCCCGUCUCCGCCGCGGCGGCGGUGCGCGGACUGCUCUGCCGCCUCCCUCUCCCGUGCACGCUGCCUCUUGCGGCGUGCAGUGCGCGCCUCCGACUCCGGAGUGCGCGUNNNNNNNNNNNNNNNNNNNNNNNNNNNNNNNNNNNNNNNNNNNNNNNNNNNNNNNNNNNNNNNNNNNNNNNNNNNNNNNNNNNNNNNNNNNNNNNNNNNNNNNNNNNNNNNNNNNNNNNNNNNNNNNNNNNNNNNNNNNNNNNNNNNNNNNNNNNNNNNNNNNNNNNNNNNNNNNNNNNNNNNNNNNNNNNNNNNNNNNNNNNNNNNNNNNNNNNNNNNNNNNNNNNNNNNNNNNNNNNNNNNNNNNNNNNNNNNNNNNNNNNNNNNNNNNNNNNNNNNNNNNNNNNNNNNNNNNNNNNNNNNNNNNNNNNNNNNNNNNNNNNGGAGUGCGCGUGCGGGCCCGGCGCUGGCCGCAUGCAGGAGCGGCCGAGGGGGGGGGGGGAGGAGACGACGCGGGGCUAGCGCAGACUGUGCUGACCGGGCCUCGCUGCGCGCGGGCCGAGAAGGUCUAGCACCGACGUCCGUGCUGCGCCGACGCGGGAGGUGCGGCGACGCUCCAGAUCCGGAGCUGCCGCCGGUCUCCACCUUGGACCGCUCCAGCGCAAUGUGAAGGGCCAUCUCCUCCUCGUAGUCGAGCUCCGAGCCAGAGUCGCUGCCGGAGCUGCUCAUGGUGGUGGAUGGGAUCGGAACCGGAGAGGGAGAGGAGUGGAUGGACGGAGCGAGAGAGGGAGAGAGUGAGCUAGGGUUUGAGGUCACCGCCCGGAUUGUGAUUUUUUGUGGGGUCCGUGGUGGGCCGGACCUGUCAGGUGGACGCGCCCGGGCGUGCCCGAGCAGCCCCAUAUCCGCCCUAUAUUUGGGUUGGAUGUGAGGGGUGCCGGUCAGCCCGGGCGUUUGAGGCCCGUUUGAGAGGUCUGAUUGGAUCAAAUUUUUGUGACCGGUCAUUGACCGGACAGUCUGCCCAUGCGUUUGAGACGGGUAUGAGAGGCCCGGCUGUAGAUGCUCUAAGAGGCUGAGUUCUUCUACUUGUCACCUAUCAUGGUUAAUAAUUGCACGGUACUUAGAGCCAUCAACAUGGCAGGGAGAGACUUGAAAGUAACUUUGCCAUGUGCAAAGCUUUAUUACCUCGGUUCCUUGACCAAGUAGUAUAAAUAAAGUAGCAUGAUCUUUGUAUUUCCCUAUCUAAAGGUCAGUUCACACACGGACACACGCAUGCACACAAUGUUGUGAGUCUUAAUUAAGCCCAUACCUCCUAGAUUCUUUGUUUGCCGAGUGUCUUGAAGAUAAAAUUAUUUUGCUGAUGCGAAUGUGGUGCAUGCAAGCACUACUUUGAAAUGAGUGGCAUCGUGAAAACAUCUUCUACAUCUUAGGUUGACAAGGCAUGGAUGGCUUACCUGGCUGGAUCCAUCAAGGUGAAACAUAGCCUCGGUAAAGCGCUCAAAACCAAUUUGCAUGGACGUGCAUCGGCUUCUUCCUCAUAAGAUGCGUCCCACAUCAGCUCUCCCGGCGCUGUCAUGGCUCUGGAAGAUGCACACGGUGACUGUCGCACUCAUUGCAUUCGGCAUCCCAACAUUCUAUAUUCUUAUUGAACUUAAUAACAGUAUUCACAAGGCCACUUGGCCCUUCCGGCACUGUCAUGGCUCUGGAAGAUGCACGCGGUGACUGUGGCACUGUCAUGGAGUGAUUUCUCUAACUUUUUUUCCGGGUUGAGUGAUUUCCCGACUUCCCGAAUCGGGUGCAUUUCUAUUAGUACAUUUUACACAUGUUUAGAAUUUGUGUUUAGAUUAAUAAUUGUGUAAUACAGAUCCAUAUAAACUUGUAGGAUUUUUUUGAAGGUUUUUGAAACUUUAAAAUGUAAUUUUUAAAUUAUUCAUAAUAAAAUGCUCCCAUGCACACCCGUGCUUCAAAAAUAGGCUUUCCUCGUACACCCGUUCUCAAAAGUUUUAAAUAGGGUAUUUAUGUCCAUCUAUAUAAAUCGAAAGAGUUAAGGAAUUAAUCCUCCAAUAUGGUUGCUCAUGGGCGUAUUACGCGCCCAACAUGUGUAUCCUCAGGGAGCUUCGAUGCCGAGUCCUUCCAGCAAGCGACUCAAGACGGGAUUGCAAAGCAGCGUCGAGUGACCGUACCGGCGAUGUGAGGAUCUAGCGCCGAUCUGACAUCAAGAUAAGGGAACUGACACCAAAUCGACUUUGCCUACCAUCUAUAAAAAAUGCAUACAACUCAAUUAUCAUCUAGUCCUGCCUCAUAAUAUAAAAGUGUUUUUGACACUAAUGUAGUGUAAAAAACGCUCUAAAAUUAUGAGACGGAGGGAGUAUCAAAUAUGCUCACUCUCUACAACUAUCAAAUAUGUUCAGUCUCAAUUACCAUCUAACGAAUAUGCUCAUUGUUUCAUAUCGCACACAAAAGCAUGACAGAAUUAUCACUGCUCAAUGCACACACAAGCAUGAUAAAAAUUCAGAGUUUGUCGUCGAUGUCGAGUUCAAAGGCGGACAACAAGGGGAGCAACAGAGAGCGCAGACAACGUCGAUGUCAAAACACUGCAGGAGCAUUGGCCAGUGAUAGUUCAGUCCGGAGGCGGCGGCUUGGACAUGGACAUGGAGGACGAACUAGGCAGCGGCAACCUGGAGAUGGCCGGGGGCAACUGGCGACACAGGGCGAGCAGAGCAUCGAGAUAGGCGGCGGCUUGCCAAGGUCGUCCAUGCACUACUAAGGAAAACCUUAUACACAGAAUCUUAGUAGCGCUUGAUAAAAUGAAGCGCUACUGCUACUUAGUAGUAGCGCGUGGAAGUAAAAGACGCUACUGCUAUCCUGUUAGCAGUAGCGCGUUUUAGCAAAACGCGCUGCUGCUAUGUUUGAACUGGGCGCACAUGGCUAGCCCCACUUAGCAGCAGUGCGUAUACUUACCCAGCGCUACUGCUAUUCUCCAUAGUAGUAGCGAUUUUCUCUAACCCGCGCUGCUACUACCCCUAACUUAUCGUCCCCGCGCGGUCGACCCUCUCACUCUCCCUCUCACUCACUCUCCCCCGCAACCCCCGUCGUCCGCCGCCGCCGCCGUUCCUCGACCACCGUCGUCGACAUCGCCGCGCCCGUCGUCCUGCUCCUCCGGAACUGAGGUAGUCCCUCCAUCCCUCCUCCCCUCCCUCCUCCUCCCACCGCGCCCUCCUCCCUCCUCCNNNNNNNNNNNNNNNNNNNNNNNNNNNNNNNNNNNNNNNNNNNNNNNNNNNNNNNNNNNNNNNNNNNNNNNNNNNNNNNNNNNNNNNNNNNNNNNNNNNNNNNNNNNNNNNNNNNNNNNNNNNNNNNNNNNNNNNNNNNNNNNNNNNNNNNNNNNNNNNNNNNNNNNNNNNNNNNNNNNNNNNNNNNNNNNNNNNNNNNNNNNNNNNNNNNNNNNNNNNNNNNNNNNNNNNNNNNNNNNNNNNNNNNNNNNNNNNNNNNNNNNNNNNNNNNNNNNNNNNNNNNNNNNNNNNNNNNNNNNNNNNNNNNNNNNNNNNNNNNNNNNNNNNNNNNNNNNNNNNNNNNNNNNNNNNNNNNNNNNNNNNNNNNNNNNNNNNNNUUACUAUUGUAUUAUGUAGUUUUUUAUUGUUUUUAGUAAGUGUUUAAUAGAAUUAGUAAGAAAAUUAAUAGAACUAGUUGAACUAGUUUAUUUUUAGUAAGAACUAGUUUAUUUUUAUUUAUAGUAAAUGCUUAGUUGAACUAGUUGAAUUAAUAGAGCUAGUUUAUUUUUAGUAAGAAAAUUUAGGUAUAUGAGAUUUGAUGAUCUAAUUAAAAUUUUACUAUAGAACUAGUUUAUUUUUAGUAAGAAAAUUAAUAGAACUAGUUUAUUUUGAACAUGUCACAUUUGUUGUUAUUUUUUUUAGUUAAAGCAAUUAUUCCCGCAUCGACGUCGACGAUGCCUAUCCCGCAUCCUCGUCAUCGACUCGGCGGAGGAGGCCUGCUUGAUCAGAGGGGACAUGUCUGGGACUGGGCUCCGUCGGGCUGGUACUAGGAGGCGCUACCUUCCGAGGGGCGCAGCUUGGUGAGGAGCCAGCCCGUCGUUAACCCGAACCUGCAACCGUGAGUACUCAUCCAAAGUACUCGCAAGCAAGGAGCUACAUUACAUAUGCAUGGGUAUAUGUGUAAAGGGCCAUAUCGGUGGACUGAACUGCAGAAUGCCAGAAUAAGAGGGGGAUAGCUAAUCCUGUCGAAGACUACGCUUCAGGCCACCUCCAUCUUGCAGCAUGUAGAAUAGAGUAGAUGGUAAGUUCACCAAGUAGCAUCGCAUAGCAUAAACCUCCCCGGCGAUCCCCUCCUCGUCGCCCUGUUAGAGAGCGAUCACCGGGUUAUAUCUGGCACUUGGAAGGGUGUGUUUUAUUAAGUAUCCGGUUCUAGUUGUCAUAAGGUCAAGGUACAACUCCGGGUCGUCCUUUUACUGAGGGACACGGCUAUUCGAAUAGAUAAACUUCCCUGCAGGGGUGCACCACAUAACCCAACACGCUCGAUCCCAUUUGGCCGGACACACUUUCCUGGGUCAUGCCCGGCCUCGGAAGAUCAACACGUCGCAGCCCCACCUAGGCACAACAGAGAGGUCAGCACGGCGGUCUAAAUCCUAUGGCGCAGGGGUCUGGGCCCAUCGCCUAUUGCACACCUGCACGUUGCGAACGCGGCCGGAAGCAGACCUAGCCUAGCAGGCGUUCCAGUCCAAUCCGGCGAGCGCCGCUCAGUCACUGACGUCAAGAAGGCUUCGGCUGAUACCACGACGUCGAGUGCCCAUAACUGUUCCCGCGUAGUUGGUUAGUGCGUAUAGGCCAAAUGGCCAGACUCAGAUCAAAUACUAAGAACUCGUUAAGCGUGUUAAGUAUCCACGAACGCCGACCAAGGCCAGGCCUGUUGGAAAUAUGCCCUAGAGGCAAUAAUAAAUGGUUAUUAUUAUAUUUCUUUGUUCAUGGUAAUUGUCUAUUAUUCAUGCUAUAAUUGUAUUGUCCGGAAAUCGUAAUACAUGUGUGAAUACAUAGACCACAACCUGUCCCUAGUAAGCCUCUAGUUGACUAGCUCGUUGAUCAACAGAUAGUCAUGGUUUCCUGACUAUGAACAUUGGAUGUCAUUGAUAACGGGAUCACAUCAUUAGGAGAAUGAUGUGAUGGACAAGACCCAAUCCUAAGCAUAGCAUAAAAGAUCGUGUAGUUUCGUUUGCUAGAGCUUUUCCAAUGUCAAGUAUCUUUUCCUUAGACCAUGAGAUUGUGCAACUCCCGGAUACCGUAGGAGUGCUUUGGGUGUGCCAAACGUCACAACGUAACUGGGUGACUAUAAAGGUGCAUUACGGGUAUCUCCGAAAGUGUCUGUUGGGUUGGCACAGAUCGAGACUGGGAUUUGUCACUCCGUGUAAACGGAGAGGUAUCUCUGGGCCCACUCGGUAAUGCAUCAUCAUAAUGAGCUCAAUGUGACUAAGGCGUUAGUCACGGGAUCAUGCAUUGCGGUACGAGUAAAUAGAUUUGCCGGUAACGAGAUUGAACAAGGUAUUGGGAUACCGACGAUCGAAUCUCGGGCAAGUAACAUACCGUUUGACAAAGGGAAUUGCAUACGGAUUGAUUGAAUCCUCGACACCGUGGUUCAUCCGAUGAUAUCAUCGUGGAACAUGUUGGAGCCAACAUGGGUAUCCAGAUCCCGCUGUUGGUUAUUGACCGGAGAGGCGUCUCGGUCAUGUCUGCAUGUCUCCCGAACCCGUAGGGUCUACACACUUAAGGUCCGGUGACGCUAGGGUUGUAGAGAUAUAUGUAUGCGGAAACCCGAAAGUUGUUCGGAGUCCCGGAUGAGAUCCCGGACGUCACGAGAGGUUCCGGAAUGGUCCGGAGGUAAAGAUUUAUAUAUGGGAAGUCUUAUUUUGGUCGCCGGAAAAGUUUCGCGCUUUAUCGGUAUUGUACCGGGAGUGCCGAAAGGGGUACGGGGGUCCACCAAGGGGGUCCACCAGCCCCGGGGGGCCACAUGGGCUGUAAGGGGUGCACCUUGGCCUAUAUGGACCAAGGGCACCAGCCCCAAGAGGCCCAUGCGCAAGAGAUAAGAAAAAAGGAAGAGUCCUAAAGGGGGAAGGCACCUCCGAGGUGCCUUGGGGGGGAAGGACUCCCCCCUGGCCGCACCCUUCCUUGGAGGAAGGGGCAAGGCUGCGCCCCCCCUCUCCCUUGACCCUAUAUAUAGUGGGGGGAAGGGAGGGCAGCAACAUCUAAGCCUUGGGCGCCUCCCUCCUCCCCUGCAACACCUCUCUCUCUCUCUCUCUCGCAGAAGCUUGCGAAGCCCUGGCGGAGACCCGCUACAUCCACCACCACGCCGUCGUGCUGUUGGAUCUCCAUCAACCUCUCCUCCCCCCUUGCUGGAUCAAGAAGGAGGAGACGUCGCUGCACCGUACGUGUGUUGAACGCGGAGGUGUUAUCCGUUCGGCACUCGGUCAUCGGUGAUUUGGAUCACGGCGAGUACGACUCCGUCAUCCACGUUCAUUGGAACGCUUCCGCUCGCGAUCUACAAGGGUAUGUAGAUCCACUCCUUUCCCCUCGUUGCUAGUAGACUCCAUAGAUGCAUCUUGGGGAGCGUAGGAUUUUUUUUUAAAAUUAUGCUACGAUUCCCAACAGUGGCAUCAUGAGCCAGGUCUAUGCGUAGUUACUAUGCACGAGUAGAACACAAAGUAGUUGUGGGCGUUGAGUUUGCCAAUUCUUCUUGCCGCUACUAGUCUUUUCUUGUUUCGGCGGCAUUGUAGGAUGAAGCGGCCCGGACCGACCUUACACGUACUCUUACGUGAGACGGGUUCCACUGACUGACAUGCACAAGUUGCAUAAGGUGGCUAGCGGGUGUCUGUCUCUCCUACUUUAGUCGGAACGGAUUCGAUGAAAAGGGUCCUUAUGAAGGGUAAAUAGAAAUUGGCAAAUCACGUUGUGGUCAUACGUAGGUAAGAAACGUUCUUGCUAGAAACCUACAAACCACGUAAAAACUUGCAACAACAAUUAGAGGACGUCUAACUUGUUUUUGCAGCAAGUGCUAUGUGAUGUGAUAUGGCCAGAAGAUGUGAUGAAUGAUAUAUAUGAUGUAUGAGAUUGAUCAUAUUCUUGUAAUAGGAAUCACGACUUGCAUGUCGAUGAGUAUGACAACCGGCAGGAGCCAUAGGAGUUGUCUUUAUUAUUUUGUAUGACCUGCGUGUCAUUGAAUAACGCCAUGUAAAUUACUUUACUUUGUUGCUAAACGCGUUAGCCAUAGAAGUAGAAGUAAUCGUUGGCGUGACGACUUCAUGAAGACACAAUGAUGGAGAUCAUGAUGAUGGAGAUCAUGGUGUCAUGCCGGUGACAAAGAUGAUCAUGGUGCCCCGAAGAUGGAGAUCAAAGGAGCAUAAUGAUAUUGGCCAUAUCAUGUCACUAUUUGAUUGCAUGUGAUGUUUAUCAUGUUUUUGCAUCUUAUUUGCUUAGAACAACGGUAGUAAGUAAGAUGAUCCCUUAUAAUAAUUUCAAGAAAGUGUUCACCCUAACUGUGCACCGUUGCGAAGGUUUGUCGUUUCGAAGCACCACGUGAUGAUCGGGUGUGAUAGAUUCUUACGUUCGAAUACAACGGGUGUUGACGAGCCUAGCAUGUACAGACAUGGCCUCGGAACACACGCAAUACACUUAGGUUGACUUGACGAGCCUAGCAUGUACAGACAUGGCCUCGGAACACGGAGGACCGAAAGGUCGAGCAUGAGUCGUAUAGAAGAUACGAUCAACAUGGAGAUGUUCACCGAUCUUGACUAGUCCGUCUCACGUGUUGAUCGGACACGGCCUAGUUGAACUCGUAUCAUGUUUCACUUAGAUGACUAGAGGGAUGUCUAUCUGAGUGGGAGUUCAUAAUCAGAUGAACUUCAUUAUCAUGAACAUAGUCAAAAAGGUAUUUGCAAAUUAUGUCAUAGCUUGUGCUUUAGUUCUACUGAUUAAGAUAUGUUCCUAGAGAAAAUUUAGUUGAAAGUUGGUAGUAGCAAUUAUGCGGACUGGGUCCGUAAACUGAGGAUUGUCCUCAUUGCUGCACAGAAGGCUUAUGUCCUUAAUGCACCGCUCGGUGUGCUGAACCUCAGCGUCGUUUGUAGAUGUUACGAAACAUCUGACAUACACGUUUUGAUGACUACGUGAUAGUUCAAUGCGUAAUGCUAACGGUUUAGAAUUGUGGCACAAGAGACGUUUUUGAAACGUCGCAGAACAUAUGAGAUGUUCCGAAGACUGAAAUUGGGAUUUCAGACUAGUGCCCAUGUCAAGAGGUAUGAGACCUCUGACAAGUUUCUUAAGCCUGCAAACUAAGGGAGAAAAGCUCAAUCGUUGAGCGUGUGCUCAGAUUGUCUGAGUGUCACAAUCGCUUGAAUCGAGUGGGAGUUAAUCUCCCAGAUGAGAUAGUGAUAGUUCUCCAUAGUCACUGCCACCAAGCUAGUAGAGCUUCGUGAUGAACUAUAACAUAUCAAGGAUAGUUAUGAUGAUCCUUGAGCUAUUCGCGAUGUUUGACACCGCGAGAGUAGAAAUCAAGAAGGAGCAUCAAUUGUUGAUGGUUAGUAGAACCACUAGUUUAAGAAGGGCAAGGGCAAAAGGGAUACUUCAUGAAACAGCAAGUCGUUUGCUGCUCUAGUGAAGAAUCCCAAGGUUGAACCCAAACCCGAGACUAAGUGCUUCUGUAAUGAGAGGAACGGUCGCUGAAGCAGUACUACCCUAGAUACUUGGUAGAUGAGAAGGCAGGCAAGGUCGACAAAGUAUAUUGGAUAUACGUUAUAUGAAUGUGUACUUUACUAGUACUCCUAGCAGCACCAGGGUAUUAGAUACUGGUUCGGUUGCUAAGUGUUAGUAACUCGAAAUAAAAGCUGCGGAAUAAAUGGAGACUAGCUAAAGGUGAGAUGACGAUGUGCGUUGGAAGUGUUUCCAAGGUUGAUGUGAUCAAGCAUCGCAUGCUCCCUCUACUAUCGAGAUUUGGUGUUUGCGUUGAACAUGAUUGGAUUAUGUUUAUCGCAAAACGGUUAUUCAUUUAAGGAGAAUAAUGGUUACUCUGUUUAUUUGAAUAAUACCUUCAAUGGUCUUGCACCUAAAAUGAAUCUCGAUCGUAGUGAUACACAUGUUCAUGCCAAAAAGAUAUAAGAUAGUAAUGAUAGUACCACAUACUUGUGGCACUGCCACUUGAGUCAUAUUGGUAUAGAACGCAUGAAGAAGCUCCAUGUGGAUGGAUCUUUGGACUCACUCGUUUUGAAAAGAUUGAGACAUGCGAACCAUGUCUAUUGGUAUAUAUGCAUGAAGAAACUCCAUGCAGAUGGGUCAUUUGGACUCACUUGAUUAUGAAUCACUUGAGACAUGCAAAUCAUACCACAUGGGCAAGAUGACUGAAAGUCCUCGUUUUCAGUAAGAUGGAACAAGAGAGCAACUUAUUGGAAGUAAUACAUUUUGAUGUACGCAGUCCAAUGAGUGCUGAGGCAUGCAGUGGAUAUCGUUAUGUUCUUACUUCACAGAUGAUUUGAGUAGAUGCUGAGAAUAUUUACUUGAUGAAACACAAAUCUGAAUUAUUGAAAGGUUCAAGUAAUUUCAGAGUGAAGUUGAAGAUCGUCGUGACAAGAGGAUAAAAUGUCUGUGAUAUGAUCAUAGAGAUGAGUAUCUGAGUUACGAGUUUGGCACACAAUUAAGACAUUGUGGAAAGUGUUUCACAAUUAAUACCGCCUGGAACACCAUAGUGUGAUGGUGUGUCCGGACAUCAUAGCUGCACCCUAUUGGAUAUGGUGCAUACCAUGAUGUCUCUUAUCGAAUUACCACUAUCGUUUAUGGGUUAGGCAUUAGAGACAACCACAUUCACUUUAAAAGGGGCACCACGCAAUUCCGUUGAGACGACACCGUUUAGAGAAACCUAAGUUGUCGUUUCUUAAAAGUUUGGGGCUGUGAAGCUUAUGUGAAAAAGUUUCAGGCUGAUAAGCUCGAACCCAAAGCGGACAAAUGCAUCUUCAUAGAAUACCCAAAACAGUUGGGUAUACCUCCUAUUUCAGAUCUGGAAGCAAAAGUAAUUGCUUCUAGAAACGAGUCCUUUCUCGAGGAAAAGUUUCUCUCGAAAGAAUUGAGUGGGAGGAUGGUGGAGACUUGAUAAGGUUAUUGAACCGUCGCUUCAACUAGUGUGUAGCAGGGCACAGGAAGUUGUUCCUGUGGCACCUACACCAAUUGAAGUGGAAGCUUAUGAUAGUGAUCAUGAAACUUCGGAUCAAGUCACUACCAAACCUCGUAGGACGACGAGGAUGCGCACUACUUCAGAGUAAUGCGUGAUCCUGUCUUGGAAGUCAUGUUGCUAGACAACAAUGAACCUACGAGCUAUGGAGAAGCGGUGGUGGGCCCAUAUUCCGACGAAUGGCUCGAGGCCAUGAAAUCCGAGAUAGAAUCCAUGUAUCAGAACAAAGCAUGGACUUUGGUGAACUUGCCCGAUGAUCGGCAAGCCAUUGAGAUAAAUGGAUCUUUAAGAAGAAGACGGACAUGGACGGUAAAGUUACCGUAUAUGAAGCUCGACUUGUGGCAAAGAGUAUUUUCACAAGUUCAAGGAGUUGACUACGAUGAGUUUUUCUCAUCCGUAGCGAUGCUUAGGUCCGUCGGAAUCAUGUUAGCAUUAGCUACAUUUAUGAAAUCUGGCAGAUGGAUGUCAAAACAAGUUUCCUUACCAGUUUUCGUGAGGAAAGGUUGUAUGUGAUACAAUCAGAAAGGUUUUGUCGAUCCUAAGGAUGCUAAAAGGUAUGCUAGCUCCAGCGAUCCUUCCAUGGAUUAGAGCAAGCAUCUCGGAGUCAGAAUAUACGCUUUGAUGGGGUGAUCAAAGUUUUUGGGUUUAUACAAAGUUUGUUAGAAACUUGUAUUUAUAAUAAAGUGAGUGGGAGCGCUACAACAUUUCUGAUAAGUAUAUGUGAAUGACAUAUUGUUGAUCCGAAAUGAUGUAAAAUUUCUGGAAAGCAUAAAGGGUUGUUUGAAAGGAGUUUUUCAAAGGAAGACCUGGAUAAAGCUACUUACAUAUUGGGCAUAGAUAGAUCAAGACGCCUGAUGAUACUUUCAAAAGACAGCACACCUUGACAUGAUUUUGAAAGAGUUCAAAAUAGAUCAGCAAAGAAGGAGUUCUUGGCUGUGUUACAAGGUGUGAGUAUUGAGUGAGACUCAAGACCUGACCACAGCAGAAGAUAGAGAAAGGACGAAGGUCGUCCCCUAUGCUUUAGACAUAGGCUCUAUAGUAUGCUAUGCUGUGUACCGCACAUGUAGUGUGCCUUGCCAUGAGUUGGUCAAGAGGGUACAAUGGUGAUCCGGGAAAGGAUCUCAUGACAGCGGUCGAACUUAUCCUUAGCACCUAGUGGAUUAAGGAAUUUUCUCGAUUAUGGAGGUGGAAAGGAGUUCGUCGUAAAGGGUUACGUCGAUGCGAACUUUGACACUAAUCCGGAUGACUCUGAGUAGUAAACCGGAUUCGUAUAGUAGAUCAAUUAUUUGAAAUGGCUCCAAAUAGCGCGUGGUAGCAUCCACAAGAUGACAUAGAUAUUCGUAAAGCACACGGUUCUGAAAGGUUCAGACCCGUUGACUAAUAACCUCUCUCACAAGCAUAACAUGACCAAACCAGAACACAUUGAGUGAUAAUUACAUAGUGAUGUGAACUAGAUCGUUGACUCUAGUAAACUCUUUAGAUGUUGGUCACAUGGUGAUGUGACCAGUGAGUGUUAAUCACAUGGUGAUGUGAACUAGAUUAUUGACUCUAGUGCAAGUGGGAGACUGUUGGAAAUAUGCCCUAGAGGCAAUAAUAAAUGGUUAUUAUUAUAUUUCUUUGUUCAUGGUAAUUGCCUAUUAUUCAUGCUAUAAUUGUAUUGUCUGGAAAUCGUAAUACAUGUGUGAAUACAUAGACCACAACCUGUCCCUAGUAAGCCUCUAGUUGACUAGCUCGUUGAUCAACAGAUAGUCAUGGUUUCCUGACUAUGGACAUUGGAUGUCAUUGAUAACGGGAUCACAUCAUUAGGAGAAUGAUGUGAUGGACAAGACCCAAUCCUAAGCAUAGCAUAAAAGAUCGUGUAGUUUCGUUUGCUAGAGCUUUUCCAAUGUCAAGUAUCUUUUCCUUAGACCAUGAGAUCGUGCAACUCCCGGAUACCGUAGGAGUGCUUUGGGUGUGCCAAACGUCACAACGUAACUGGGUGACUAUAAAGGUGCAUUACGGGUAUCUCCGAAAGUGUCUGUUGGGUUGGCACGGAUCGAGACUGGGAUUUGUCACUCCGUGUAAACGGAGAGGUAUCUCUGGGCCCACUCGGUAAUGCAUCAUCAUAAUGAGCUCAAUGUGACUAAGGCGUUAGUCACGGGAUCAUGCAUUGCGGUACGAGUAAAGAGAUUUGCCGGUAACGAGAUUGAACAAGGUAUUGGGAUACCGACGAUCGAAUCUCGGGCAAGUAACAUACCGUUUGACAAAGGGAAUUGCAUACGGAUUGAUUGAAUCCUCGACACCGUGGUUCAUCCGAUGAUAUCAUCGUGGAACAUGUUGGAGCCAACAUGGGUAUCCAGAUCCCGCUGUUGGUUAUUGACUGGAGAGGCGUCUCGGUCAUGUCUGCAUGUCUCCCGAACCCGUAGGGUCUACACACUUAAGGUCCGGUGACGCUAGGGUUGUAGAGAUAUAUGUAUGCGGAAACCCGAAAGUUGUUCGGAGUCCCGGAUGAGAUCCCGGACGUCACGAGAGGUUCCGGAAUGGUCCGGAGGUAAAGAUUUAUAUAUGGGAAGUCUUAUUUUGGUCGCCGGAAAAGUUUCGCGCUUUAUCGGUAUUGUACCGGGAGUGCCGAAAGGGGUACGGGGGUCCACCAAGGGGGUCCACCAGCCCCGGGGGGCCACAUGGGCUGUAAGGGGUGCACCUUGGCCUAUAUGGACCAAGGGCACCAGCCCCAAGAGGCCCAUGCGCAAAAGAUAAGAAAAAAGGGAGAGUCCUAAAGGGGGAAGGCACCUCCGAGGUGCCUUGGGGAGGAAGGGGCAAGGCUGCGCCCCCCCUCUCCCUUGGCCCUAUAUAUAGUGGGGGGAAGGGAGGGCAGCAACAUCUAAGCCUUGGGCGCCUCCCUCCUCCCCUGCAACACCUCUCUCUCUCUCUCGCAGAAGCUUGCGAAGCCCUGGCGGAGACCCGCUACAUCCACCACCACGCCGUCGUGCUGUUGGAUCUCCAUCAACCUCUCCUCCCCCCUUGCUGGAUCAAGAAGGAGGAGACGUCGCUGCACCGUACGUGUGUUGAACGCGGAGGUGCUGUCCGUUCGGCACUCGGUCAUCGGUGAUUUGGAUCACGGCGAGUACGACUCCGUCAUCCACGUUCAUUGGAACGCUUCCGCUCGCGAUCUACAAGGGUAUGUAGAUCCACUCCUUUCCCCUCGUUGCUAGUAGACUCCAUAGAUGCAUCUUGGGGAGCGUAGGAUUUUUUUUUAAAUUAUGCUACGAUUCCCAACAAGGCCCACCUCUCUCCUAGGUGGUCUCAACCUGCCCUGUCGCUCCGCCACAAAGUAACGGUCGGGGGCCGUCGGGAACCCAGGCCCACCUCUACCGGGAUGGAGCCACCUGCCCCUUCAGCCCCCAUCUCCGAACAGUAUCAUAAGUAAUGUAACAGUAUAAAGUAUAAAACAUAUGCCCGUGAUCACCUCCCGAAGUGAUCACGGCCCAGUAGUAUAGCAUGGCAGACGGACAAGAGGUAGGGCCACUGAUGGAACACUAGCAUCCUACACUAAGCAGUAGGAUAGCAGGUAAGGGUAACAACUGUAGCAACAAUGACAGGCUAUGCAUCAGAAUAGGAUUAACCGAAAGCAGUAACAUGCUACACUACUCUAAUGCAAGCAGUAGAGAGAAGGAAUAGGCGAUAUCUGGUGAUCAAGGGGGGGCUUGCCUGGAAGCUCAGCCGAGAAGGAGGGGUCGUCAACACCGUAGUCGAACUGGGGGUCGCCGGCAGUCUCGGGGUCUACCGGAAAGAAAUAACGGAUGGGGAACACAAUAAAUAAUAGAGCAAUCAAAGCAACACAAAGCAUAACAUGGCAAUACGCGGUGCUAGGGUGACCUAACGCGGUACUAGGCCAUACUGGCGAAGGGGGGAAAACAUCCGGGAAAGUAUUCCCGGUGUUUCGCGUUUUCGGACAGAUGAACCGGAGGGGGAAAGUUGCGAGUUUGCUAUACUAAGGAUGUGUGGCGGACGAACGGGCUACAUAAUCAGAUUCGUCUCAUCGUUCUGAGCAACUUCCAUGUACAAAGUUUUUUGAUCCGAGCUACGGUUUAUUUUAUAUUAAUUUUAAAAGAUUUAAAUCAAUUUUAGGAUUUAUUUAAUUAUUUUAAAUCAACAUUAUCCAGAACAGUGCAUGCUGACGUCAUCAUGACGUCAGCAGUCAACAGAGGUGUUGACUGGUCAAACUAACGUGUGGGUCCCAGCUGUCAUAGACUGUUAGUACUAACUAAUAGAUUAGAUAUUUUAAGUAGUUAAAUUAGAUUAACUAAGUUUAAUUAGUUUAACUAAUCAGAAUUAAUUAAUAUUUUUAUUUACUUAUUAUUAUUAUUAUUUAAUUCUUUUUUAAUCGUUCUAGGCGCGGGGCCCCCUUGUCAUUGGGCCUAGUGGGCGUCGGGCGCAACCUGAACUGGCGCAGCGGGCGCCCGUCCNNNNNNNNNNNNNNNNNNNNNNNNNNNNNNNNNNNNNNNNNNNNNNNNNNNNNNNNNNNNNNNNNNNNNNNNNNNNNNNNNNNNNNNNNNNNNNNNNNNNNNNNNNNNNNNNNNNNNNNNNNNNNNNNNNNNNNNNNNNNNNNNNNNNNNNNNNNNNNNNNNNNNNNNNNNNNNNNNNNNNNNNNNNNNNNNNNNNNNNNNNNNNNNNNNNNNNNNNNNNNNNNNNNNNNNNNNNNNNNNNNNNNNNNNNNNNNNNNNNNNNNNNNNNNNNNNNNNNNNNNNNNNNNNNNNNNNNNNNNNNNNNNNNNNNNNNNNNNNNNNNNNNNNNNNNNNNNNNNNNNNNNNNNNNNNNNNNNNNNNNNNNNNNNNNNNNNNNNNNNNNNNNNNNNNNNNNNNNNNNNNNNNNNNNNNNNNNNNNNNNNNNNNNNNNNNNNNNNNNNNNNNNNNNNNNNNNNNNNNNNNNNNNNNNNNNNNNNNNNNNNNNNNNNNNNNNNNNNNNNNNNNNNNNNNNNNNNNNNNNNNNNNNNNNNNNNNNNNNNNNNNNNNNNNNNNNNNNNNNNNNNNNNNNNNNNNNNNNNNNNNNNNNNNNNNNNNNNNNNNNNNNNNNNNNNNNNNNNNNNNNNNNNNNNNNNNNNNNNNNNNNNNNNNNNNNNNNNNNNNNNNNNNNNNNNNNNNNNNNNNNNNNNNNNNNNNNNNNNNNNNNNNNNNNNGGCGAGGUGUGGGGCUCCGGGCGGCGGCGACGGCGAGGUGGUCCUCCUAGUGGCGCGAUGCGGCGUCAAGCCCGCUCCCGAUUGGAUCGGGGGGAGAGGGAGAGUGGGUGCGCGAGUGGGGGAAAGUGGGAGCGAGUAGGGAUGGGCGUUAGGGUUUCGGGGGGUUAAUGGGUGCGUGGGGGUUGGGCCAGGCUGGGACGGUGGGCUGGCUGGCUGGGCCAUUUGGCCCAGUUGGCCAGGGGGUCUCCCUCAUUUGUUUUUUCUGUUUUGUUUUUCUUUCUCUUUUUAUUUAUUUUUCUUUUCUAUUUUUGCUCAUUUUAAAUAUAUAGGCCUUGUAUAAAAACAUGGUUUCUACAUGACAAAUAGUUAGGGAAUAUUUUCAACACAUCAAACAUUUUAGUUUUGACUUUUGAAAACUUUAAUUAUUUUAACUUUAGUUCAAAUUUUGAAUUUGAAUCCGUUUCGAACUAACGCAAGAUUAUCAGCAGUAACCGAGGUGAUGAGGCAUCAUUAACGCGGGAUUACUGUAGCCUAAUUAUCCGGGCGUCACAAAUCUCCUCCACUACAAGAAAUCUCAUCCCGAGAUUUAGGAGCGGGAGUAAGGGGGAAUGGAUUUGGUUACGAAAUUUUGACGAGUGUCGUCGGUCUUGGUUGCUCUUCUCGAAGAGGUCAAUCCAUUACGUUGAUGUCUUCAUUUCUCUGCUUCAGGUCAUCACACUACGGGAAACAGCUAAUUUGCCAUCAGGAGGGGUCUUUGCCGUCAGCUUUUCGUCGGGCAGACGACAACGAGUGGGUUUGCCGUCAUCAGUAGACGGCAAAGAAAAACUGACGGUAAAAUAAACUUUGCCGUCUGCGGAAAAAAAUACAUACGACAAAGAGCUGACUUUGCCGUCUGCAACAAAAAUCAUAGACGGCAAAGAAUCUUUGCCGUCUGUGUUUUUUUGGCAGACGGCAAAUAUUCUUUGCCGUCUAUAUUUUUUUGUCAGACGGCAAAAUAAGCUCUUUGCUGUCUGUAUUUAUUUUCACAGACGGCAAAGAAGAAACAAAUCACGCGGAUCAAUCACACGGAUCGAUGAGUUGGCAAUAUCUCAGACGCACAUCCCACACCAUUGGUCGCAUGCCUCCACCCACCCCACGAUGCACGCACCCCCACACAUGCCCCCACCCACGAGGCCACGAGCCUACCUGCCCCACCCACGACUCCCAUCUCCUCUCCUGUGCUCCCUCUUCUCUCCACCGGAUCUCCACCUCCCCGAGCAGUAGCACACCACCGGCCAGUGCCUUCCUCUCUCCUGCUCCCUCCUCCCUAGCUACGUCUCCCCUGAGCAGCCACAGGCCGCCGGGCUGAGCCCAGCGCCCNNNNNNNNNNNNNNNNNNNNNNNNNNNNNNNNNNNNNNNNNNNNNNNNNNNNNNNNNNNNNNNNNNNNNNNNNNNNNNNNNNNNNNNNNNNNNNNNNNNNNNNNNNNNNNNNNNNNNNNNNNNNNNNNNNNNNNNNNNNNNNNNNNNNNNNNNNNNNNNNNNNNNNNNNNNNNNNNNNNNNNNNNNNNNNNNNNNNNNNNNNNNNNNNNNNNNNNNNNNNNNNNNNNNNNNNNNNNNNNNNNNNNNNNNNNNNNNNNNNNNNNNNNNNNNNNNNNNNNNNNNNNNNNNNNNNNNNNNNNNNNNNNNNNNNNNNNNNNNNNNNNNNNNNNNNNNNNNNNNNNNNNNNNNNNNNNNNNNNNNNNNNNNNNNNNNNNNNNNNNNNNNNNNNNNNNNNNNNNNNNNNNNNNNNNNNNNNNNNNNNNNNNNNNNNNNNNNNNNNNNNNNNNNNNNNNNNNNNNNNNNNNNNNNNNNNNNAGCCGCGUGCUGAGACCAGCGCCCGCCCGUCCCUAAGCAGACGCCGCGGCCAGCACCCUCCCGCCGUCCGUCCACCACCGUGCCCAACACCCUCCCACCCGUCCGUCCGCCCCCGAGCAGCCGCAUGCCGCGGCCAGCGCCCUCCCGCCGUCCGUCCACCGCCACGCCCAACACCCUCCUGCCCGUCCAUCCGCCACCUCGCCAGCGCCGCGUGAAGGUCCACCUCGCGAGCUCAUCUUCACCUACCGGCCGUGCGCACCACAGCUCCUCCGGCCGGGCACCCGAGCCCGUCCACACUCCGAGCUCCGCCGCUAGAGCAGCCGUGCGCUCCGCCUCGCGAGCUCCGCUGGUCGAGCACCGCCCAUCCCUGACCUCCCUCGCGUGCCUCGCCGUGGUGUCGGAGCGAGACAGCUCCCGAGCGCGGCUAGGCCGGAGCGACACGGUUGAGCAGGGCCGGGCGACGGCGCACCGAGCAGAGCAGUCCGGCGAGCGUUGGGGCCGGGAGACGGCGCACCGAGAAGAGCAGUCCGGCGAGCGUUGGGGCCGGGCGGCGGGGCGAACAGGGCACUGCAGGGGAGAAGAAGGACUCGAUUGCUUUUUAGUUUUACUUUUUAGGGUUCUUUGUGUUAAUUUCUAGGACUAUUCUGUAGCUUUAGUUUUUUUGGGGUCAUGUUUGCAUUUUGUACUAGACUAUCAUGGAAUGAAAGCACUAAACAAGGCCGAGCCUUUGCGUGUUAAAUGAAGAAGAAGAAACAUAGGCAGUGCACUGCGUGCGUUUACCGCAUCCCUCGAGUCAACACUGUUGUGUUUUUUUUAAUUUGACCCAUUUCUUCGCCGUCUGUGAUAUACGAGGCUGACGGCAAAUACACGAAUAGCUGACGGUAAAGAUGUAGUAUGGCUGACAGCAAAAGUACUUUUCUUUGCCGUCUGUGAUUUAUAAGGCUGAUGGCGAAGCAGAUUUGGCCGACGGCAAAGUCUUUGCCGUCUGUCGGAUGAAAAGCUGACGGCAAAGUAUUCUUUGCCGUCUGACUUUGCCGUCUGCUUCUUGACGGCAAAAUCUUUGCCGUCUGGAUUUAGGUCUUUGCCGUCUGUGAUCCACAGAUGGCAAAUUACCUGUUUCCUGUAGUGUCAUGAUGAAGUCGGCAUCCUUUCUUCGGGAACUCCAUCGUACUUACGAAAGAAUAAAGGGGUGGGUGUUCCAGGAGAAUGGAUCUCCACAAGGUUGACUAUCUGGUCGAUAACAUCGGGGAAGGUGGCGGAAAGUAACUCUCGAAUUGGAACUUAAGAAAACACCGAGAGCAAGUAAGACGGUGCAAUAAGAAGUUUUGAGAGGAUAGGCAAUCGUUCAUUGCCUGAAACAAAACGUGAUAGGGUUCAUAGCAAUGGGAAUAAGUAUUGUGUCUGAUACCAGAAUUGGUGAUCUUUCGGAAGGUGGCUCAUGAAUUACAUACGAAGCCAAACACGAGGAUUGACUUUGGGAACAGGGGUGUAUAGGAGAGUCAGGUUUCGAUCAUGUGGAACUGUGGGUUAUGGGCCCACCAUGUGGGUUAAAAGUAGGAAGGGCGGUGACAUCUUGCACAAUCAUGUAAGCAAGGCAUGUCAGAGGAUAACCGGUCAGUUAUGUUGGCAGCAUCGUUGGUACCAAGGGCGAGGGACGAAGAGAACUAUUUUCCUGCUCGUUGAACGAGGCGGACCAAUAAGGCAAAGUUCUCGUCCAGCCGUGGUUACCCGAAUGUCAUCAACAAUAGUAAUAGGGUCUUACUGACAGAGUGGUACAAUGAGGUGUUUACAUAAGCAGGGAAUAUUACUGCUUAUAUGAUAUAGAUCACAAGAAGGGUUAAACAAACCAACGGAAAGGAAAAGUGAUUAUUAGUUUUAAACAGAACAAUGGAAAGGAAAAUGUAUACACGCACAUAUUUCAGGGGUAUAUCCUUCCCAAGGACAAGCGGAGCAUGAUAUCCAUGACAGGAUAGAAAGUAGAAAACCAUUGAGGUAAGGGGGGAGGAAUUUCAUGAUAUUACCCGUACAACGGUGUUUGGAUAAUUGAUAAAGAAAACUUAGCAUUAUGCUUCAAAUGUUCCUAUUGAUGAUAGGAGUACCACAUACAUGCUUCGAGAUUGCAUUGACAUGGUCUUCAAGCAAAGGUCGGACUUUCGAUACACAAGGGAUCCAUCAGGAACAACUUGUAAAGUAAGUCUUACGAUUUCCUCAUGGAAGAAUCGCUAAGCUUGCUAAAAAGAAACUAUAACAAUAGGUCCUCUGGCCAGGUGUGCUAGGCAUGACAUAACCUUACCGGGUCAUAUAAAGACCAACAUUAUAACUCUUGGAAAUAUGUUCCAACCAUCAUAUCUGACCGAGAUUCAGAUCUGAUUGGUGUCACGAUACCUCAGACUUAGGACGCCUGAGAAGAAAAGGUGCGGCACAAUUUGACGAGAUGACAUUGUAAGAUUCUCGGGAAAUGAACUAUGGAAGCGAGUUCCGGAACAGGAGUUCAUCAUUAAACCAAGGAGAGGAUGAGGAGGUGGCUGAUGAACUCAACAAUAAUUCAUCAAGACUUCCAAAAAGAGGGAUUUCCACAAUUGCGUGAACAAGGAGAUAUCAUUAGUCAGAUCAAUGAUAUAAUGACGUAUGAUCGAGGAAAACAUACACAAUUUAACAAUGAUAGAAGGGUGCACCCGGAAAUCUGGACUAGGUAGCACGAUCAAUGUUUGAAUGAUGAUUCAAUAAGCAAUAGACUUAGAAUGAAACUAUUGACCAUUAACCCCAAAGCAAUAGGGUUGCUAAAAGUUUUGAAGUCGCACAUCAUAGUUUAAUUGUUGGUUUUCUGGUUAGAAACAACACGGGGACCAAGGAAUGAAUGAAUAUGGCAAGAAGUAUCACCUGUAUCAAGAAUUCUUAAGAGGUGGUGAAAUUCUCACGACUAUCUUGACAUAAAAGAUGGUAAUACUUCAAGAUAGAACAUAAUACAAGCUGUAUAGCAAGUCGCAUCCACAACAUGAUCAAUGUUGUGAUGAAGGAAGAUAAGGAUGUUGUUCAUGGUAACUCAAAUUACCAAGGGACGAGGAUGACACUUAUCAUCAUGAAUUCGAUCGAUAUCCUGGAAGGAGCCAAAAAUUGUUGAUGAUGAUCAUGACAAUUGUUGUCGAGAGGCUCCACGGAGAAGCAAUCGAACAACGACUGCAUCAAGCAAAAGGACUGAUGCAACGAAAGAUUAUUUGAACCACAUAUAUGACACAAACUCGGAAUCAAGUUUGUGGUUCGAGGUGAAACGAUAAGACGAGGAAAUCGACAUAAGCUUAGCUUAUAUUCGAAAGCUGUGCUCCGAGAAUAAGGACCGGGUGGCACAGUUAAACUAUAGCACGAUAACGAUAUAGUUGAUCAGGCUAGGACUGACUUGAUCGGGUACAAAAUCGUACUUAAAUAAGAUUACUAAAGGUUGUUGAACCGUAGUGCGGACUCGGUCCAGUUAUCGGUGUCUUUGAGUGUUUAAUAACUCAGAGCCCAUGAAAAAUUGUAAUCAGUGAGAAUGUAGUACUUGAUGAAGAACUCAUAAGAAGUUAUGCAGUUCCAAGAUAAUCUCGAGAUACCAGGGGGGUAAUACUCGACGAAAGAUCAAAGUAAAGGUUAGAAUGGUGUAUUGAUCCACAGAAGACAAGUGCUUAAACUUGCCCGAGAAAUGGGAACAAAGAAGAACAAUAUGGUCGAAACCAUAACUACAAGGGGUCCAGUUUAAUGACACCGAAAGAAUUACUCGAAUGAGUAAAUACUUGGCAAGAAGCUUCCAUGAUAAGUUCCACAUCGGGUCCAUGGGCAUGAACACAGAGUUCAAGGUCGACUCCCACUUCUCCAAUGCAUACCCUUUCAUUCACUUCUCAUUUUCGAGGAAGUCGUAGUGUUGAGAUUUUAUCUGGCAUAACACCAGUAGAGUAUGACCCGUAGAAGUUUCCGGGUUCACACAGCUUAUGGAAGGCAUAGAUUCAACCCAUCGGGGUACCUAAGGAACAUAUACCACAAACUUCAGGAGUAAACAACACAAGCUCGAAAGCAGAGCAUGUUCGACAAAGCAGAGGAUACAAUUUACCAAAAGCAUUAUGUAUCCGAGAAAAUACUCACAAAGUUAUUGAAUAUGAAGGACGUUGUCGGAUAAAAUCCAACAAAGGAGUUGAUGGUCCACAAGAGAUCUGAUGUGAGCAUCGGUACUCAACUAGAAGAAGAAACAAUGCGAAGGCAUUGGAUUAUAGAAACAACUAACUAAUUCAGAGCUCAUCUGCAAAGGAAUUAUGAUUUUCAAAUCAAGGGAUCAGAAGCCAACGGUCUGAUUAAGAAUGGAUAAGUUGAAUAGAUUUAGGGGUACAAUCGACGGCAAUUAGUUUGGUCGAGAACCAGCUCAUGUUCAAAAUGACAUCUGAGCCAAAAAUAUAAUUUAAAAGGGUAAACCGAUGAUUGCGUGCAUUCGCACUCAUGUUGAAUCAAUAGGAUAAAAUGACGGUGUCAAAGGAGACUAAUGAAUAUUGCUAGACAUAUGGGAAGCAUCCAUAAUGCAAGCAGACAAGUAUUUGCAGAGCAAUAAGCUGCUAAGGAUUUUUGGAGGAUCGAAUAGUAUUUCGAAGACUUUUGUGAAACACCUGAACAACUGGGGAUGAGCGAAUACUUGGAAAGUGCGAGAAAUUAUUCUUAGGGGUAUUCAGGUGGCAAAAACUGCAAGGCAGUAGGCACAAAAUAUUCUCUGGGUAUCUUGUAAUAACAAGAUCGACUGGGAAUAAAAGUAAGCACGACAGGUGUAAGUAUUUAUCCAUAGGGAUAUUUCGGUGGAAGGGAAUUGCAAAAGCAACGGGCACAAGGUCUCGAGAGAAUAUCGGAGAGUAUCUUCGAAAUCUUCUGGUGCAGCCGGCGAUCAUCUGGACUGAAGGGGCUCUCCGGGAGAAAGUAUUUUCGAGAACCUAAAGUUAGAUUUUAGUAAAAAUCGUUUAACCCGAAUAGAAGAGAGUUCAGAAUCCCGGAGUAAAGAUCGAGGAGUAAAAGAUCCUAAUACCACCCAAUGGCGACGUGGGCCCAUGGGCCGCACAGCCAUGUUAGUAAAAGUUUUGUAAUGUCUAGACUCGACUUCGGCCAAGGAGUAUGGAAGGGGGAUUCCUACAGGCAGUCGGCUCUGAUACCAACUUGUGACGCCCCCGAUUCAAUCGUUCACUAAUCAUGCAUGCCAAUGUGUACGAUCAAGAUCUGGGACUCACGGGAAGAUAUCACAACACAACUCUACAACAUAAAUAAGUCAUACAAGCAUCAUAAUACAAGCCAGGGGCCUCGAGGGCUCGAAUACAAGUGCUCGAUCAUAGAUGAGUCAGCGGAAGCAACAAUAUCUGAGUACAGACAUAAGUUAAACAAGUUUGCGUUAAGAAGGCUAGCACAAACUGGGACACAGAUCGAAAGAGGCGCAGGCCUCCUGCCUAGGAUCCUCCUAAACUACUCCUGGUUGUCGUCAGCGGGCUGCACAUAGUAGUAGGCACCUCCGGUGUAGUAGGAGUCGUCGUCGACGGUGGCGUCUGGCUCCUGCACUCCAGCAUCUGGUUGCGACAACCAGGUAGAAAGGAAAGGGGGAAAAGAGGGAGAAAAGCAACCGUGAGUACUCAUCCAAAGUACUCGCAAGCAAGGAGCUACACUACAUAUGCAUGGGUAUAUGUGUAAAGGGCCAUAUCGGUGGACUGAACUGUAGAAUGCCAGAAUAAGAGGGGGAUAGCUAAUCCUGUCGAAGACUACGCUUCAGGCCAUCUCCAUCUUGCAGCAUGUAGAAGAGAGUAGAUGGUAAGUUCACCAAGUAGCAUCGCAUAGCAUAAACCUACCCGGCGAUCCCCUCCUCGUCGCCCUGUUAGAGAGCGAUCACCGGGUUAUAUCUGGCACUUGGAAGGGUGUGUUUUAUUAAGUAUCCGGUUCUAGUUGUCAUAAGGUCAAGGUACAACUCCGGGUCGUCCUUUUACCGAGGGACAUGGCUAUUCGAAUAGAUAAACUUCCCUGCAGGGGUGCACCACAUAACCUAACACGCUCGAUCCCAUUUGGCCGGGCACACUUUCCUGGGUCAUGCCCGGCCUCGGAAGAUCAACACAUCGCAGCCCCACCUAGGCACAACAGAGAGGUCAGCACGACGGUCUAAAUCCUAUGGCGCAAGGGUCUGGGCCCAUCGCCUAUUGCACACCUGCACAUUGCGAACGCGGCCGGAAGCAGACCUAGCCUAGCAGGCGUUCCAGUCCAAUCCGGCGCGCGCCGCUCAGUCGCUGAUGUCAAGAAGGCUUCGGCUGAUACCACGACGUCGAGUGCCCAUAACUGUUCCCGCGUAGUUGGUUAGUGCGUAUAGGCCAAAUGGCCAGACUCAGAUCAAAUACCAAGAACUCGUUAAGCGUGUUAAGUAUCCGCGAACGCCGACCAGGGCCAGGCCCACCUCUCUCCUAGGUGGUCUCAACCUGCCCUGUCGCUCCACCACAAAGUAACAGUCGGGGGCCGUCGGGAACCCAGGCCCACCUCUACCGGGAUGGAGCCACCUGCCCCUUCAGCCCCCAUCUCCGAACAGUAUCAUAAGUAAUGUAACAGUAUAAAGUAUAUAACAUAUGCCCGUGAUCACCUCCCGAAGUGAUCACGGCCCAGUAGUAUAGCAUGGCAGACGGACAAGAGGUAGGGCCACUGAUGGAACACUAGCAUCCUACACUAAGCAGUAGGAUAGCAGGUAAGGGUAACAACUGUAGCAACAAUGACAGGCUAUGCAUCAGAAUAGGAUUAACCGAAAGCAGUAACAUGCUACACUACUCUAAUGCAAGCAGUAGAGAGAAGGAAUAGGCGAUAUCUGGUGAUCAAGGGGGGGCUUGCCUGGAAGCUCAGCCGAGAAGGAGGGGUCGUCAACACCGUAGUCGAACUGGGGGUCGCCGGCAGUCUCGGGGUCUACCGGAAAGAAAUAACGGAUGGGGAACACAAUAAAUAAUAGAGCAAUCAAAGCAACACAAAGCAUAACAUGGCAAUACGCGGUGCUAGGGUGACCUAACGCGGUACUAGGCGAUACUUGCGAAGGGGGGAAAACAUCUGGGAAAGUAUUCCCGGUGUUUCGCGUUUUCGGACAGAUGAACCGGAGGGGGAAAGUUGCGAGUUUGCUAUACUAAGGAUGUGUGGCGGACGAACGGGCUGCGUAUUCAGAUUCGUCUCGUCGUUCUGAGCAACUUCCAUGUACAAAUUUUUUUGAUCCGAGCUACGGUUUAUUUUAUAUUAAUUUUAAAAGAUUUAAAUCAAUUUUAGGAUUUAUUUAAUUAUUUUAAAUCAACAUUAUCCAGAACAGUGCAUGCUGACGUCAUCAUGACAUCAGCAGUCAACAGAGGUGUUGACUGGUCAAACUAACGUGUGGGUCCCAGCUGUCAUAGACUGUUAGUACUAACUAAUAGAUUAGAUAUUUUAAGUAGUUAAAUUAGAUUAACUAAGUUUAAUUAGUUUAACUAAUCAGAAUUAAUUAAGUUAAUUAAUUAAUUAAUAUUUUUAUUUACUUACUAUUAUUAUUAUUUAAUUCUUUUUUUAUCGUUCUGAGCGCGGGGCCCCCUUGUCAUUGGCCCUAGAGGGCGUCGGGCGCAACCCGAACUGGCGCAGCGGGCGCCCGUCCGCUGNNNNNNNNNNNNNNNNNNNNNNNNNNNNNNNNNNNNNNNNNNNNNNNNNNNNNNNNNNNNNNNNNNNNNNNNNNNNNNNNNNNNNNNNNNNNNNNNNNNNNNNNNNNNNNNNNNNNNNNNNNNNNNNNNNNNNNNNNNNNNNNNNNNNNNNNNNNNNNNNNNNNNNNNNNNNNNNNNNNNNNNNNNNNNNNNNNNNNNNNNNNNNNNNNNNNNNNNNNNNNNNNNNNNNNNNNNNNNNNNNNNNNNNNNNNNNNNNNNNNNNNNNNNNNNNNNNNNNNNNNNNNNNNNNNNNNNNNNNNNNNNNNNNNNNNNNNNNNNNNNNNNNNNNNNNNNNNNNNNNNNNNNNNNNNNNNNNNNNNNNNNNNNNNNNNNNNNNNNNNNNNNNNNNNNNNNNNNNNNNNNNNNNNNNNNNNNNNNNNNNNNNNNNNNNNNNNNNNNNNNNNNNNNNNNNNNNNNNNNNNNNNNNNNNNNNNNNNNNNNNNNNNNNNNNNNNNNNNNNNNNNNNNNNNNNNNNNNNNNNNNNNNNNNNNNNNNNNNNNNNNNNNNNNNNNNNNNNNNNNNNNNNNNNNNNNNNNNNNNNNNNNNNNNNNNNNNNNNNNNNNNNNNNNNNNNNNNNNNNNNNNNNNNNNNNNNNNNNNNNNNNNNNNNNNNNNNNNNNNNNGGGGAUGGGCGUUAGGGUUUCGGGGGGUUAAUGGGUGCGUGGGGGUUGGGCCAGGCUGGGACGGUGAGCUGGCUGGCUGGGCCGUUUGGCCCAGUUGGCCAGGGGGUCUCCCUCAUUUGUUUUUUUUUUUCUGUUUUGUUUUUCUUUCUCUUUUUAUUUAUUUUUCUUUUCUGUUUUUGCUCAUUUUAAAUAUAUAGGCCUUAUAUAAAAACAUGGUUUCUACAUGACAAAUAGUUAGGGAAUAUUUUCAAAACAUCGAACAUUUUAGUUUUGACUUUUGAAAACUUUAAUUAUUUUAAUUUUAAUUCAAAUUUUGAAUUUGAAUCCGUUUCGAACUAACGCGAGAUUAUCAGCAGUAACCGAGGUGACGAGGCAUCAUUAACGCGGGAUUACUGUAGCCUAAUUAUCCGGGCGUCACAUGAUCAUUGCCUUGAUAUCAUCAUAAUUAUUUGAAGUUCUAUAAAUUGCCCAACAGUAAUUUGUUUACCCACCGUUUGCUAUUUUUCUCGAGAGAAGCCACUAGUGAAACCUACGGCCCUCGGGUCUUCUUUCUCAUAUAUUUGCCUUGCGAUCUACUUUUCCUUUGCAUUUUUAUUCAGAUCUAUUAAACCAAAAGAUACAAAAAUACCUUGUUGCGUUUUAUCUUUAUUUAUUUUAUUUAGCAUUCGAUCUAUCAAUCUACUACAAUUUACCUCACGUCCGCUUGCCUAUCUUGAGGCGCUGUAUCCCGGAAGGGAUUGACAAUCCCUUUAACACGUCAGGUUGCAAGGUGUUGUUGUUUGUGUGCAGGUGCUGCUUACGUUGUGUUGCUUGGUUCUCCUACUGGUUCGAUACCUUGGUUUCAUAACUGAGGGAAAUACCUACUGUCUCUGUGCGACAUCAUCCCUCCCUCUCCGGGGAAAUACCGACGUAGUUCCAGCUACCAUCAAGGAGAAUUUCUGGCGCUGUUGCCGAGGAGGAUCUUCAACAUAACCAGGUUCCUAAUCACAAAUCUCAUCUCCUUGGAAUUUACAUUAUUCGCCAUUUGCCUCUCGUUUUCCUCUCCCCCACUUCACAAAAAUUUGCAGUUUUAUUCGCCUCUCUUUUCCGUUUGCCGCUUUCUUGCCGGAUCUGUCUUUGUGUGUGAGAUCUUGUUUGCCGUUAUGGAUAAUUCCUCCUCUACUGCUUGCACUCCCGAGAACGAGAUUCUCAACUUUAAACAAAGGGGAAGAGAAAGUUUAAAAGAUGCUUGGUAUAGAAUUUGCAAUGCUCAUAAUAGAUCUAUCCGUAAGCAAUCUACCGUUGUGCUUUUGCGUUGUUUUUAUGUUGGCACCACCACUUGGUAUAGAUUCGUCCUUGAUACGAUUACCGGUGGAAAUGUCUUAAUGAGCCCUCCUUUUGAUGCUCUUAAUGCUAUGGGAAAUUUAGUGGGCUCACCACCUCUUAUGGUUAAUGAAACAAUUUUGACUCUUGAGCAUGUUAUGGAAAGACUAGAUGCUAUCGAAAAGAAAAUGCUCACCAAAGAUCAUAUGGAAAUUAUACAUAAAAAGAUGCAUAAUUUUGCCACUAAUCUUGGAUCAAAAGUAGGCGAUAUUUUUAAGUUGUUAAAAGAAAGGGGUACUUUAAUCCAUGAAAGAAUAGAAGAAAGUCCGUCUCGGAUCGAUAAAUUGGAAGAAAUCUUUAGUAAUCUAAGCACGGCUUUUACUACCACUAAAAUUAUUGAGGAAACUCCCGUAAAGAGUAGGAGAUCCAAGAAUAAGGGUGCAACUCCUAGUGAUAGCAAUAGAGGAGAUCUUAAGAUGAUUAGUAUCCACCCUGAUUUUGUUGAAGUGAUAAGAGAUCCUUUUUGCAAGAAUGAAAUCUUUGAAUUUAUUCAUAGGAGUGUUAUUAUUGAAAACCUUUAUGCUAAAUCUUUGAGGGAUUCUAAGUGUUUGAUUGAAGAGUUGACAAAGAUGACAAAACUUAGAUCCUUGCUUUACGCCUAGCUAAGGGCGUAAAACUAUAGCGCUUGUUGGGAGGCAACCCAUUGAAUAAAAUUUAUUUUUUCUUUUUGCUUUCUGUUCUUGAGUGUUUACACAAUUAUGCCACUGUUAUGAUUGUGUUUUUUGUGUUCUAAUUAGUGUUUGUGCCAAGUAAAGCCUUUAGGAUCUUCUUGGGUGAUAGUUGUUUGAUCUUUCUGAAAAAGACAGAAACUUUGUGCUCACAAAAAUAAUUUUCAUAAAUCACAGAAAAGAGCUUUGCUCUAAUUCUUUUUGCAGAAGAUUAAUAUACAAGUUACCCUGGUCAUCCUAAUUUGGUAAAUUUUUUGGAGAUCCAGAAGUAUUCGCAAAAGUCAGAUUGCUACAGAUUGUUCUGUUUUGACAGAUUCUGUUUUCUUUGUGUUGUGUGCUUAUUUUGAUGGCUCUGUGGUUUUCAUUGAUGAGUUUUUACCAUAGAAAAGUUGGAAUACAGUAUAUAUAAUACAAAAACAAAAUAUGAAAUGGUUUGAUACAACACUUAUAGUACUGAUUUAUUUUUCUUACACUAACAGAUCUCACGAAGGUUUUGUUGAGUUUUGUGUGAUUGAACUUUUCAAGUUUUGGGUUAUCUUAUGAUGGAUGAAGGAAGGAUGUAAGAGCCUAAGCUUGGGGAUGCCCCGGCAUCCCAAGCUAUUAUCCAAGAAUGAGCAACCAACUAAGCUUGGGGAUGCCCCCGAGUGGCAUCCCCGCUUUCUUCCAACAACUAUCGGUAUUUUACUCGAGGCUAUAUUUUUAUUCGUCACAUGAUAUGUGUUUUUCUUGGAGCGUCUUGUACGAUAUGAGUCUUUGCUUGUUUUAUUUUGUGUUUUAAGUCAUCAAUCCUUACUGGACACACCUAUUUGAGAGAGCCAAAAUUAUAUCAUGACUUGUUAGAAUUUCUCUUUAUGCUUCACUUAAAUCUUUUAUGAGCUAGGACUUGCUCUAGUGCUUCACUUAUAUCUUUUUGAGCACGGUGUGCUUUGUUAUUUUUGACGAAAUGCUCUCUUGCUUCACUUAGAUUUAUUUGAGAGUUACUAAAAUUUUGAAGAAAUUCUCUCUUGCUUCACUUAAAUUAUUUUGAGAGAAAGAAAAUUUGCUAUACUCAUGAUCUUCACUUAUAUUUGUUUGAGCUUAUGAAAAGCAACACAUGAAAAUUAGUCCCAAAGUGAUAGAUAUCCAAGAAGUAUAAAGUAAAAUAAAAUGUCAUGAAGAUCAUUGUACAAAAUAAACUUGAUUCUUAGUAAUAGUUUUGAGAUAUGAUGAUGUGAUAUGUGAGUUAUGUUGAUGAGUAAUUGUGCUCUAGUAGGAAUAUUGUUGUUAAGGUUUGUGAUUCCCUAUGCAUGCACGGAAGUUAAUAAUCAUGCAAUGAAAAUAUAUCCUACUUGUGGUGCAUUAUUCGGUGUUAAUUAUGCUUAAUGCUUGCUUAUGAGAUUAUUCGUUUCUUGGUUGGUCGCUUCCCAAUCUUUUGCUAGCCUUCAUUUUGCACUAAGUAUGACCUCUACUUGUGCAUCCAAAAUCCUUUAAACCAGUUUUGCCACAUGAGUCCACUAUAUCUACCUAUAUGCGGUAUUCUUUUGCCGUUCUAAGCAAAUUUACACGUGCCAUCUCUAAUUUUCAAAAUAAACUUCUCUUUUGUGUGUUUGUUUCGCUCACGAAACGGUAACGGGUGGCUAAUAUUUUCCAUACUGGAUGUGUUAUUCUCAUGAUGAGUGUUUAUUCACUUGUCAUUGCAUGAGAGUAAGGCAAAGGUUUUAGGGAUGCCCAAUCCCGAAAUGCAAAAAUUAAUUUACUUUAUGUUGUCAAAUAAUAAAUUCCUUGGAAAGUGUUGGUAUGGAGGGCACCCGUGGAUACGGCUAGCCAUGGAAAGUGAAAGAAUGGUGGAAAAAGGAAUAAACUUUAUUUUCUGUUUGGGAACCGCCUAUGGCAUAUCUAGCAUGGAAAGUGUUGGGAACUCUAAGUCGUUUACGUUGGUGGGAUGGAUACACGUCCCAAAAUGUUUUUAUCUCUAAUUUUUCGCUUUGAGCUCUGGCACCUCUACAAAUCGGUACUUCCCUCUGCGAAGGGCCUUUCUUUUACUUUAUGCAAUUUUUAUUUUGAAAUUUGAGUCUCCAUCUUCUCUCAUAAAAAGCACCAACUAGGAGGCAAUAUGAUCGUGCUUAAGUAUUGGGUGUAGUUAAUAUUCGAGUGUGUUUCAUGAAUGGAUCAAUGUUUGAGGAUGAUGGGCUAGGGAUAACUUAUUUUAGCGUUGAUAUUUUGAAAGACAUGGUUGCUUGUUGAUAUGCUUGCGUAUCUAAAUUAUUAUGUCAAAACUAGACUAUUGCUUUGAAUCACAUAAAAGUCCAAAUGUCCAUGCUAUGAAGAAAAAGAAUAUGAUAUGACUUGAUAAACAACACUCCACAUAAAAAAAUCUGUUUUUAUCACUUACCUACUCGAGGAUGAGUAGGAGUUAAGCUUGGGGAUGCUGAUACGUCUCCAAUGUAUCUAUAAUUUUUGAUUGUUCCAUGCUUUUUUAUUAUCAAUCUUGGAUGUUUUAUAAUCAUUUUAUAGUCAUUUUAUAUCAUUUUUUGGUACUAACCUAUUGACAUAGUGCCAAGUGCCAGUUGCUGUUUUUUCCAUGUUUUUUACAUCGCUGGAAAUCAAUAUCAAACGGAUUCCAAAUGCCACAAAACUUCAUGAUGAUUUUUUAUGGGCCAAAAGGAAGCAGAUGGGCCCUGGUUGCACCUGGGGGGAGUCCCUAGGAGGGGACAGCCCACCAGGGCGCGCCAGGAGGCCCUGGCGCGCCCUGGUGGGUUGUGCCCAUCUCGGGUGCCCCCCAGACCGCCUCUUUGCUCUAUAAAUACCACAAUAUUCCAGAAACCUAGAAGCAUCGACGAAAUAUUCAUCUAGCCGCCGCAGAGUCCAGAACCACCAGAUCCAAUCUAGACACCAUCACGGAGGGGUUCACCACUUCCAUUGGUGCCUCUCCGAUGAUGCGUGAGUAGUUCCUUGUAGACCUUCGGGUCCGUAGUUAGUAGCUAGAUGGAUUUCUCUCUCUCUCUCUCUCUCUCUCUCUCUCUCGCUGAAUUCUCAAUACAAUGGUCUCUUGGAGAUCCAUAUGAUGUAACUCUUUUGCGAUGUGUUUGUUGGGAUCUGAUGAACUUCGAGUUUAUGAUCAGUUAUAUCUUUUUAUACCCAUGAAAGUUAUUUGAGUUUCUUUGAUCUCUUAUAUGCAUGAUCUCUUAUAGCCUCAUAUUUCUUCUCUGAUAUUUGGGUUUUGUUUGGCCAACUUGAUCUAUUUAUCUUGUAAUGGGAAGAGGUGCCUGGUAGUGGGUUCGAUCUUACGGUGCUCGAUCCUAGUGACAGAAAGGGAAACGACACGUAUGUAUCGUUGCUACUAAGGAUAAAAACACGAGAUCUAUAUCUACCACCAUAUAGAUAAACGGAUCUUGUCUACAUCAUGUCAUCGUUCUUAUUGCAUUACUCCGUUUUUCCUUGAACUUAAUACACUAGAUGCAUGCUGGAUAGCGGUUGAUGUGUGGAGUAAUAGUAGUAGAUGCAGGCAGGAGUCGGUCUACUAAUCUUGGACGUGAUGCCUAUGUAAUGAUCAUUGCCUGGAUAUCGUCAUAAUUAUUUGAAGUUCUAUCAAUCUCCCAACAGUAAUUUGUUUACCCACCGUUUGCUAUUUUUCUCGAGAGAAGCCAGUAGUGAAACCUACGGCCCCCGGGUCUUCUUUCUCAUAUAUUUGCCUUGCGAUCUACUUUUCCUUUGCAUUUUAUUCAGAUCUAUUAAACCAAAAAAAAUACAAAAAUACCUUGCUACGUUUUAUCUUUAUUUAUUUUAUUUGGCGUUAGAUCUAUCAAUCUACUACAAUUUAUCUCACGUCCACUUGCCUAUCUUGAGGUGCCGUACCCCGGAAGGGAUUGACAACCCCUUUAACAUGUCGGGUUGCGAGGUGUUGUUGUUUGUGUGCAGGUGCUGCUUACGUUGUGUUGCUUGGUUCUCCUACUGGUUCGAUACCUUGGUUUCAUAACUGAGGGAAAUACCUACCGUCGAUGUGCUACAUCAUCCCUCCCUCUCCGGGGAAAUACCGACGUAGUUCCUGCUACCAUCAGUGGCCUGGAUUUUCUAGAAAGAUAAUUGAACGACAUUUCGGGUUGACUUUAAGUCUGUCGAGGCUCCAUACAUUACAGUCAACAAAUGAGUGAAGGAGAAAGUCUGCACCAUAUAUGAGAGAAAAAGAAUCCCGACUGUUGUCGUGGGGGUCAUUUUUCCUUCUUCUCCUUGUGCUAGACCUUUGUUAUGCACUAGGGGAAGGAGGAAUAACGACCAUCACCGACGGUCGAAAAAUCAGUGAGGGAGUGUGUCCACCAUAUAUGAGAAAGGAUGAAGAAUCCCGACUGUUGUCGUGGGGGUCGUUUCUCCUUCUUCUCCUUGUGCUAGACCUUUGUUAUGUACUAGGGAAGGAGGAGUAACGACCAUCACCGACGGUCGCAAAUGUCAAAGAGGAAUCAGCGAGGGAGAGUCUCCACAAUAUAUGAGAGGACGAAGAAUCCCGACUGUUGUCGUGAGGGUCGCUUCUCCUUCGUUCCCCUAUGCUAGAAAUUUUAGUGUAAUGCACUUGGGGACGAAAGGAGGAGCGACCAUCACCAACGGUCGAAUGUAUACACCACGCGAGCUGAGAGUUUCCAAGAAAAGACUUGACAGACUGAUAGUCAACCCGUGAUGAAUAAUAAUGAUCUAAUUUAGUUUUUGUAGUACAUAUAUUUAAUUGUACAAGUCUAAUCUUUGAAUUAUGAACAUAGGAAAUGUCGUCGUCGGACGAUGAAAGUCUCCUGGCGGAGUGCGACUGGUGCGGCGAUGACCGGGGUCUGUGCGACAGGCCUCACCUGGUAGAAGGUCGGCGCUUCAGCAUUAAGCUCCAGGAGACCUUCUAUGUUGAAACGGUACACAACGACGACAAGUGUUUUUUUUCAUAAUUAAGCACGACUUCUGCUACUUCAACGUGUAAUUUUCGUCUUUUACAAUUCGACUAGCUUAUCCCAUGCCAUGCAAGACGCUAUGUCUUGGAGAGGAUGGAUUUUGAAGAUCAUGAAACUAUGGAAACAAAGAUAAUUCACCUAAGGACACAUCAUGGUAUGGAUUUUGAUGUAAAUCUAUACAAUUCUGAGAGCGUAACCCAUUUUGGUUGCCCGAAUUGGGAAGCACUUUGCAAGAUGUAUGAUUUUCAUGAGGGUAUGCUUGUCACCAUGGAUCUUGGUGAUCCUGACAUCGCCCAAGACAAUAUGGACAUUUAGGUCCUUGUUGAUACGCUUCCAAUUCUACCGCUAUAUGCAUGAGUUUCUCAAACAUAAUUAUUAAGUAAUUUAUAUUAUUUAUUUCAAAAUACUUGACAGCUUAUUUCCAUUGAUAGCUUAUUUUCAUUCUUCAAAGAAUGUGCGAAAGAUGGUUGACAGAACCUACUACACCGAUGACUCAGAAUUAACUUAUCAGGAGAAAAAUCAUCUGAUCUCAUUUAUUACCGAUCUUGAGAAUUACAAUAUCUAUUAUCAAACUCCUCCACAUUAUGGUCAAUACGUGCCACUAGUGCAUGUGUUGAACUAUGGUAACAUCCAUGGAGAUGUCAUGGUAUGAUUCUUUUACUAUUACGACAUCCGUGCAUCUUUUGCAUACAUUCUUCUAAAACUCAACUACAUUGCUAACUACGAAAUUAUUAUUGUGUGUUUGAACAGAAAAUGCCGAAGGAUUGUGUGCCUCAUCUGAUGUUUCCGAAUGGUCGCCUUGAUGUUAUGAACUUAAGGCCAGGUCAUCGUACGCAUCACUGCUGUUCAUACCGGAUUUCUAAAACCCAUGAAGACAUGACAAUUAAAUAUUGAAAAAAAUGCAUGAUCAAUCGUAGGGAGCUACUUGGAAGCAACAUUAUGCGAAACGCAAGAAUUGGAGAAAGGAUAAUCUCCGUUCUCCAUAAUGGAGAGUCAGGGCCUAUAUUGUUUUAUGCUAUUUUACCUAAGAGAGGGUAGUAGGUCCUAUGAGAGAGGAGUAGGUCCUAGGUACAAUGUGUUAUUAUGUGCUACAAUGUGUUAAGAGUUGAUGAUGAUGAUGAGGAGUUGUGAUUAUGACUAGUGACCAACUUGCUAUAUGAUGUCUCAUUGAUGAAAAUGAUGAUCAUGAGGAGGUGUUAUAUGACAAUGAUGCAUUACGAUGAUAAGUUGUUAAUGAUAUGAUGAUGAUGAUUUAUUAUAUCAUUGGGUGAAAGAACCAAUCAUGUAAUAACUCAUUAUGAUGUAAAAACAAUCUCUAAAUUGCUAAUGUAUGAAAACUUGUAUAAAGGUGUAUCAAUAUGACAUAAAAUAAAAAAGUAAUAGAAUAUUAAAUAAUAGUAGUAGCGUGGGCAGAGAGACGCGCUACUACUAAUUACCAGUAGUGCCUUUUGCAGGAAGCACUACUAUUAAGUGGAUAUAGCGGUUGCGCGGGUAAAACAACGCUACUGCUAACCUUUAGCUAGCUGUAGCGCCGUAGCAGUAGCGCGGUCACCCGCGUUAAUGCUAGGCCAAAAACCCACACUACUGCUAGGUUUUUCCCUAGUAGUGAUGGCCUGGAGUGGAGGCGCCAGAGGGAAAGGGAUGGCAGAGGCCGCGGCGGAGGGAAGGGCCAGGAGCCAAGCCGGCGCCGGAGAAUGGGCACUUAGAAUGGCGGCGGCGGCUUGAAUCAGGAGUGGAACCCUAGCUCUCGUGGUGACGAGGGGUUGGCCUCGAUUCUUUUUUUGUGACCAAAGAAAAAAACAGUGCGCUAUACAAAAUAGAGUCGCCCCUUAAAAUAUGCUACUAGUGCGCUAUAGCAUGCCACUAGCGAGAUAUUGUACAUUGAUUUAUUUAGCGAGACAAUUCUUUACACUUUGUAGUGUGCCAUUAGCGACGGUAUAUCAAGCUAUUUUUUCAGUGGUUGUGAUGGGGUUGGGCCCAGUGGCAAAUCCACUGUUAUAAGUGUGAAAACCAGGGGCAAUCUGCUAUACCCUUUUGCUUUUAAGUUAGAUUUUGCAGGAAGUUACCCUCCCCUCAGAAUUUUUUCCUUUGCGAAGGAGACCCGGGUGGAAAGAAGUUAAGCCCUUUCCUACAAAACAAGUAUUUUUUUGCGUUUCUAGCUUAUUUUGACAAUAAGUUUCUACAAGAUACAAAAGAACUUCCCCUAAGCACCACUCGCAGAGGAUAAGGAGGGCAACAGUGGCACAGUGCAUGUGCAAGGCCAUAAUUCCAAGUGAAAAUGGUUGUGCUAGGAUUUGUUUUGAGAAAAGUUGUGCUGGGACUUUUUUUAGGGGAAAAUAGCUGCCAUUAAUAAACUUGUUCUAUGGCACCAUACGGGCAUCUCCAAAAACGAUGGGACUUUAGGAACCUAUUUCUCUCUAUUCUGCCCACUCCAAGGAAUUAUGAAGUUAUCUAAAUUUUUAUAUUUGCAAAGAAAAAAUUCUGAAUUUUUAAUAGAUUUCAAUUGUGAUAUAAAUGAUACAGUACUUUUAUUACACUCAAUUUCAAAAGAUAUCAGUAAAAGUGUGCUGCGUAUUAUUAGAUGACACAUAAUAAUACAUCAUUUAAUAUGAUACGGUAUCAUAUCACUAUACUCAAACCUUUUUUUCUCACUUAAUUGUGUAUCACCUCAACAGAAAUGUGUAGCUGGCAUGCAUGAUACUAUAUAUAUGAUACUCUUAUUGUGACUAGCCUCAUGAAAAGUAAGGGAUGAGACCUACUAUGCCAUCUACUAUAUAUAGAACUUUUACAUGUUCUGAAUUCAAUGCAGAAGUACUUCUAAUAAAUCUAAUUUAUGCCAUCUACCAACUGCAUCUGGCUCUAUAUAUGCUUCUUAUGACCAUCAAACUACUACUCGUUUCAUAUAUCAGAAGCGCCCUUGUGAAUGGUUCAAACUAUGUGUGAUCAUUUAAGCUCUAUGAUUCUAGUACAUGUUAGUUUGUUGGAAUAGACUAGCAAAACAAAACUAUGCUAAGUCAUGAAAUUUAGAUGACUUGAUGUUGGCAGUGAACUUAGCCGGCCCAUAUAAGGCAGUACCAUAUAUUGGCAUGGCACACAAGAUGUGUGUCCUAACAUACCGACACCUUAACCGGUUUAUAAGUUACUAUUCGGAAGUCGGAAUGAGUGGCCUCAGGAAAACAUCUAUCACAACCAUGGGGGUUGAGUAAUUAAUAUAAGUUUCAUUCACAAAAAAAACCAGCUAAGUUUUCUCGUACUUCACUCCGUUCUCCCCCUCUGCGGCAUAUGCAAAGCCUCCCCCCUAACCCCUCCCUUUGGUAUGUAGUUUAGGCAUGGCUGCUAUUUUUGUUUAUCUUCUUUUGUUACCUCCUCUCCCGUCCGUGACUUCUGAUCUAUUUGAUCUCUGCCGAUUCUUGACUUCCCAUUUGAAGAUUGACUCGUGCACUGAAGAUUACAGAGUUUUACCCUGUGUAUCGCAACAUUACUGGGAUCCCUAAACUUUGGUUCAGUCGUUCUUUCUUUGGACCCCGGGCUUGUAGUAAAAUCACCCAUUCCUUGGCGGCAAUGGGAGUGAGGAGGCAUGGACUUAGGUUGUUGUGGGCAGUAGGUGAAGGUGCUUCACUUAUAUCUUUUUAUGCACGGUGUUGUUUAGUAUUUUUGAAGAAAUGCUGUCUUGCUUCACUUAGAUUUAUUUGAGAGUUAGUAAAAUUUUGUAGAAAUUCUCUCUUGCUUCACUUAAGUUAAUUUGAGAGAAAGAAAUAUUAUGCUCAUGAUCUUCACUUAUAUUUGUUUGAUAUUAUCAAAAGCAACAUAUGAAAAUUAGUCCCAAAGUGAUAGAUAUCCAAGAAGGAUAUAAUAAAAACUUUCGUGAAGAUCAUUGGACAAAAUAAACUUGAUUCUUAGUAAUAGUUUUGAGAUAUGAUGAUGUGAUAUGUGAGUCAUGUUGAUGAGUAAUUGUGAUUUAGUAAGAAUAUUGGUGUUAAGAUUUGUGAUUCCCUAUGCAAGCACCAAAGUCAAUAGUUAUGCAAUGAAAUUAUAUCCUACUUGUGGUGCAUUAUUCGGUGUUAAUUAUGCUUCAUGCUCGCUUAUGAGAUUAUUCGUUUCUUGGUUGGCCGCUUCUCAAUCUUUUGCUAGCCUUCAUUUUGCACUAAGUAUGAUCACUACUUGUGCAUCUAAAAUCCUUUAAACCAGUUUUGCCACAUGAGUCCACUAUACCUACCUAUAUGUAGUAUUCUUUUGCCGUUCUAAGCAAAUUUGUAUGUGCCAUCUUCAAUAUUCAAAAUAAAUUUCUCUUUUGUGUGCUCAUACCGCUCGCAAGGCGGUGAGGGGUGGCUAAUAUUUUCCAUGCUAGAUGUGUUAUUCUCAUGAUGAGUGUUUAUUCACUUGUCAUUGCACGAGAGUAAGGCAAAGGUAUUAGGGAUGCCCAGUCCCGAAAUGAAAAAUGAAUUUACUUUAUGUUGUCAAAUAAUAAAUUCCUUGGAAAGUGUUGGUAUGGAAGGAACCCAUGGAUACGGUUAGCCAUGGAAAGUGAAAGUAUGGUUGAAAAAGGAAUAAACUUUAAUUUUUGUUUGGUAACCGCCUAUGAUAUAUCUAGCAUAGAAAUUGUAGGGAACUCUAAUUCAUUUUUGUUGGUGGGAAAAGUAUGCCUCUCAAAAUGUUUUUAUCUCUCAAUUUUUGCUUUGAGCUCUGGCACCUCUACAAAUCCCUACUUCCCUCUGUGAAGGGCCUUUCUUUUACUUUAUGCAAUUUUUAUUUUUAUUUUGAGUCUUCAUCCUCUCUUAUAAAGCACCAAUUAGGGGGCACUAUGAUCGUACUUGAGCAUUGGGUGUAGCUAAUAUGCGAGUGUGUUUAAUGAAUGGAUCAAUGAUUGAGCAUGAUGGGCUAGGGAUAACUUAUUUUAGCGUUGAUAUUUUGAAAGACAUGGUUGCUUGUUGGUAUGCUUGAGUAUUUAAGUUAUCAUGUCAAAACUAGACUAUUGCUUUGAACAAUAUAAAAGUCCAAAUGUCCAUGCUAUAAAGAAAAUAAUAUGAGAUGACAUGUUAGGCAACAUUCCACAUCAAAAAUUCUGUUUUUAUCAUUUACCUACUCGAGGACGAGCAGGAAUUAAGCUUGGGGAUGCUGAUACGUCUCCAACGUAUCUAUAAUUUUUUAUUGUUCCAUGCUGUUAUAUUAUCAUUCUUGGAUGCUUUAUAAUCAUUUUAUAUCAUUUUUUAGUACUAACCUAUUGACAUAGUGCCAAGUGCUAGUUGUUGUUUUCUGCAUGUUUUUUCCAUCGCAGGAAAUCAAUACCAAACGGAGUCCAAACACAGCGAAACUUUUUGUGGAUUUCUUGGACCAGAAGGCAUCUAGUGGGCCAGAGAAGCGCCUGGGGGGUGCUCCAAUGGGAGCACAACCAACCAGGGCGCGCCAGGAGGCCUAGGCGCGCCCUGGUGGGUUGUGCCCACCUCGGGUGCCCCCUGAACCGGUUCUUUGCUCUAUAAAUACCCCAAUAUUCCAGAAACCCUAGGGGAGUCGACGAAAAUCAAUUCCAGCCGCCGCAGAGUCCAGAACCACCAGAUCCAAUCUAGACACCAUCACGGAGGGGUUCACCACUUCCAUUGGUGCCUCUCUGAUGAUGCGUGAGUAUUUCUUUGUAGACCUUCGGGUCCGUAGUUAGUAGCUAGAUGUCUUCCUCUCUCUCGUUUGAUUCUCAAUACAAUGGUCUCUUGGAGAUCCAUACGAUGUAACUCUUUUUGUGGUGUAUUUGUUGGGAUCGGAUGAACUUUGAGUUUAUGAUCAGAUCUAUCUUUUUAUCCAUGAAAGUUAUUUGAGUUUCUUUGAACUCUUAUAUGCAUGAUUGCUUAUAGCCUCAUAUUUCUUCUCUGAUAUUUGGGUUUUGUUUGGCCAACUCGAUCUAUUUAUCUUGCAAUGGGAAGAGGUGCUUUGUAGUGGGUUCGAUCUUACGGUGCUUGAUCCCAGUGACAGAAGGUAAACUGACACGUAUGUAUCGUUGCUACUAAGGAUAAAAUGAUGGGGUCUAUUUCUUAAUAAAUAGAUCUUGUCUACAUCAUGUCAUCGUUCUUAUUGCAUUACUCCGUUUCUCCAUGAACUUAAUACACUAGAUGCAUGCUGGAUAGCGGUCGAUGUGUGGAGUAAUAGUAGUAGAUGCAGGCAGGAAUCGGUCUACUAAUCUUGGACGUGAUGCCUAUAUAAUGAUCAUUGCCUCGAUAUCAUGAUGAUUAUUUGAAGUUCUAUCAAUUGCCCAACAGUAAUUUGUUCACCCACCGUUUGCUAUUUUCCUCGAGAGAAGCCACUAGUGAAACCUACGGCCCCCGGGUCUGUUUCUCAUAUUAUUUGCCUUCACAAUCUAUUUUAUUUGCCUUUUAUUUUCAGAUCUAUUAAACCAAAAAUAUAAAAAUACUUUUCUGCACUUUAUUUUAUUUGGCGUUCGAUCUAUCAAUAUUUACUACUCUCUCACGUCCGUUUGCCAAUUUCUAGCGCCGCUACCCGAAAGGGAUUGACAACCCCUUUUACACGUCGGGUUGCGAGUAUUUGUUAUUUGUGUGCAGGUCCUAUUUACGUAGUGUUGCUUGGUUCUCCUAAUGGUUCGAUAACCUUGGUCUCAUCACUGAGGGAAAUACCUACCGCCGUUGUGCUGCAUCAUCCCUUCUUCUUGGGGGAAAUACCGACGUAGCUUCAAGCCGCAUCAGUAAACGAUUAGUAAGGUACGUAAUAAAUAAGUUGUGGGGAUUAAAUUAUUAGUGGUGAUUGACGUUACCAAGUUCUCCUCCGUCGAGAGAAGUUCCUGCGUCGGGAGGACCAACUCCUUACUGUCUGGGUCUUGCACUGCACGGGCCCUGAGAAAACGGAAGUCCCGAGCACGAUCUCGAUGUUUCGAGAAUGGAUUUGGUUUACACGUGGCUAUACAGUCCACGGCCUCCUUCUCCGACUUGGGUUAUGCAGCUUUGUAACCACCGGGGCCUAGACGGUGGUUACCUUGCAGAUUUUUUUGUAAAUUACAGAAAUGACCGCUUAUCUCCUUGCUUGACUCGCUACCAGAGGAUUCACAAAACUUCAUCCAUUCUUCGGGAUCCAUAGUUGGAUUGAGCCGCUUAAUGGUCUCGAAGUCCUUACCCACUAUAUUGCAACGGGCACUGCUCUUCCAGUCCCUGAACAUCUUUGGCCAUUUUGACAUGGCAUAAUCUUUGGCUAACUUCUUGACGUCAGACAGAAAUUCAUAACUACAGAAUUCUCCUUGUGUCCGACCAAAUCCUUGCUACCUAUCUGGACGGUAUUUUGCAAAAUGCAACCUAGCAUUUUGCUAUACAUUUUCGAUGCGUCCUCUGGGGUGACGGGCUCACCUUUCGGACCAACUGCGGUGAUUCUAAUUAUACCUUGGUGAAGCUUGUUUGGAUCCCUUGCGUUUCAGUUGCUCUUGCUUGUGGCGGAUUGUGCUGGAUGAAGUCCCGGCAGUGUGGCUCGUGUCCCCUGGCCCGGUGGUCGGUUCAACCUGUCGUUUCNNNNNNNNNNNNNNNNNNNNNNNNNNNNNNNNNNNNNNNNNNNNNNNNNNNNNNNNNNNNNNNNNNNNNNNNNNNNNNNNNNNNNNNNNNNNNNNNNNNNNNNNNNNNNNNNNNNNNNNNNNNNNNNNNNNNNNNNNNNNNNNNNNNNNNNNNNNNNNNNNNNNNNNNNNNNNNNNNNNNNNNNNNNNNNNNNNNNNNNNNNNNNNNNNNNNNNNNNNNNNNNNNNNNNNNNNNNNNNNNNNNNNNNNNNNNNNNNNNNNNNNNNNNNNNNNNNNNNNNNNNNNNNNNNNNNNNNNNNNNNNNNNNNNNNNNNNNNNNNNNNNNNNNNNNNNNNNNNNNNNNNNNNNNNNNNNNNNNNNNNNNNNNNNNNNNNNNNNNNNNNNNNNNNNNNNNNNNNNNNNNNNNNNNNNNNNNNNNNNNNNNNNNNNNNNNNNNNNNNNNNNNNNNNNNNNNNNNNNNNNNNNNNNNNNNNNNUACGUUGUCUACUAUACAUGUAUAGGACUAUGAUCUUGUAUUUAUACCGUUGUAUCUCCCCUCUCCCUCCUAUAUAUUUGUAUAUCUUGGGAGAUAAGUAGAAGCCGGUCCACCCUGUAUCUAUAUAUGUGCAUCAUGCACACGAUCAAUGAAUUAUCGAUGCAUAUGCAAUCCUUUCUUUCCAACUAACAAUGGUGACCACGCCCUCUCGCCCAGGGUGUGCUUUUCACAUACAUCUGUUGUGGUCGUACCCUUAACUUAAAUCACGGCCACUGUGUGACCUACUUUAUCUUCCUAAGUGUGCUAUUUUGGACCAACUGCGUUUUGUUGUGGCGCAUGUGCCAUGCAUCACGGAGCUGAGCGUGUCCCCUAAAAUUCUUAUUAGGCCAACUCUAACGCACGACCCCAAAUGGUCCGGCCGCGUUCGUUUGGGGUUAGACGGACAAACCAGGCCUUCCAACGCGCAGCCGCAAACGGAUAGUCGUCACGGGUUUUCUAUGUUGUGAGGGCAUGCGUAGGAUGGGCUUCCUCCAGCCCCAACAUUGUUGUUGUUGCUGCAAGUUAUUAAUAAAGGGAUAAUUGGUUUUAUACCCCUAGUUGUGUCACGCUCGGCAGGUUUAUCCCUAAUUUGUGAAAAUUCUUGGUCUUGCCCAAGUGUGUCUGGUUCCCUUAUGCUUUUGCCUUCCGUCCCAAUUCCGUCCGGUCAAAGGCGUUUGACCGUUAAGGGGACAUUUUUUGGACCAGUUUGCCCUUCGUACGUGUUGGCAAAGACGAGUCAAAUAGGACAACAGGAUUAAUGGAUCCACCUGUCAUAGACUGAAAUGCCUUUUUUUUUCUAAAUGUCUCACUGCUAUGUAUGGCCCACAUGUCAUACAAAAAAAGAUAAAAAAGGUGUUUAUUUCUCAGCCCCGACCGCGGCCGCCACUAGGAGAGGAUGCACGCCACGCCGGCUGAUCCAGCGCCUGCCCAGACCACCGCAAUUCUGGACCACCGCCAUCGACCUGCCACAGGCCACUGUGUCACCUACCCGCCUCCUCCUCCUCUCUCUCUCUCUCUCUCUCUCUCUCUCUCUCUCUCUCUCUCUCUCUCUGCGUGCAAUAGGAGGUUGUCGCCGCCUGGUAGUUCUCUGCCGCCCGUUUCCCCGCUUGCGUUCGUGCGUAGGAGACACGCCAGCGCCUCGCGCCACCCCGAUCCGUCGCGCGUGUGGGCCACCAUGCAGCCAUGCCCAGCCCAGCAGUGUCGCAGCUCAGCACCGACGCUGCCAUGGCGGUAGAAGUGGUUCGGCAAUUGCUUGCCAGCGCUGUUGCUGCUUGCCCGACGGUAGAGAGAGGAGAGGAGUGAGGCAGCGUCAGUCGGCUGAGCGGGGCGGCGCCUGGGAUGAGAGAGGGAGGUGGUUGUGGGGGGCACUGGAGGUAGGGCGUGCGAAACAGGCGGCGCGGGUGGCGUAUGGCCAGUGCGGCGGAGCUAGGAUGGGAAAGGGGGGGAGAGAGUGGUUUUUCUAUUUGUUAUUUGUUAUUUUGUAUUUAAUUGGGCCCAUAUGUAAGCAUCACAUUGUUUUUUCUUUGUGUUUUAAUUGAAGUUGUAAGGAGGGGCAAAAUGGUCCAGAAAAGUGUCCCCCUAACGGUCAAAUGCCUUUGACCGGAUGGAAUUGGGACGGAAGGGCAAAAACAUAAGGGAACCAAACACACUUCGGCAAGACCAAGAAUUUUCGACAAGGGUAAACCUGUCGAGGGUGACUGAACUAGUGACAUAAAACUAAUUAUCCCAUUAAUAAAACAAUGAGUAGGAUAACUAUUAUGCACCAAAGAUUACAAUUUUUCUGUAACAUAAUACUCCCUCCGUCCCAAAAUGCAAGAUCAUUGUGACACUAUGAUAGUGUCAAAAUUGGUCUUGCAUUUUGGGACAGAAGGAGUAAUUAUAUAACAUAGUGUCGAGUGCUGAGUGUUGACUGAUGAAAUCAAACUGGAUUUUAUAGUUGGAGAAGCGGCCGAACGGAGUAUUUGGUAGCGGAAACCCAUCGGUGUCGGCAUAUGCGGAGCCAUAGGGGUAGGCCCAUUGCUGCAACAUCUCAGUGACGGGCUCGGUGAGAGGGAGGUUACCGUUGUCGGCGAAGUCAUCCCCAGGCACUGACGUCACUGCCUCGAAGCAAGGCACCCGCCAUUGACCGUCCCUUGUACAUAUUGCAGUGCUAGAGCUGUGAAUGUCGUUGAUGGAAAACACCUCCCAUUGCUCUCGUUCCCACAUCAUUGACAACACAAAGGAACCCUACAACCUCUAUCAUGAGAGGUGAGGGAUGAGAGAGACCUACUAUGCCAUCUAGCUCAUGCGGUAGCCUAUAUGUACAACAUUUACAUGUUCCGGUUUCCACAAGGAAGUGCUUCUAUUAGAUUUAUGACAUUGCCACCAACCAACCACACCUUGCUCCACAUAUGCUUCUAUAUAUAACCAUCAAGCUAAUACUCAUUUCAUAUAUUAGAAGCACCCUUGUGAAUGGUUCAAACUAUGUGAUCAUUUAGACUCUAUGAUCCUAGUAUAUGUUAGUUUGUUGGAAUAGACCGCCAAAAAAAAAAAAC